rnacentral:lncRNA from 1 species
CCUCAGAGGGCAGACAAAACUUAUCCAAAUCAUGGAAACAAAACUCAAUAGCGACUGUCAACAGCAGAGAAGGAACAUAUCUCGCUAGUACAACUUCAGGUUACCUAUAGAAAUGAGAAUUCUGAAUGGAGGCUAGCUCCAUGAAGCUCGUAUUUUUGUAAAAAUCAGAAAUUACAGUUUUGAGUUUAAAAAAAUUCUAAAAAUAUCACACGUUCAUACAGAUAUAUACUCCAUGUGUGCAACUUUUAAAGACGAAAAUGGCGAGAGCUACACUAGGAAGACAAAAUCGUGAUUCUGAAAAUGGCAAACAUAUUUUGUGUAGCUAGACCUGUAUAUUGUUCUUCGGGUAAUUUUGGAAAAUCAAAAUGUGUUAUUUGAAUUUUUCAAAAAAAAAACAUGGGGCUCAGGACAUAGCUAAUUUAGUAGACUUCUCAAAAAAUACUCCACUAUCUAAUCCAAAUAUCCAUUCCAAUCCACACGACGAUUGGUACAGAUUUCUUUUCAGUACCAUACUACUGCAAAAUUAUGAGAAGGUUUCUAAACAAACAUCCAACUAGCCAGCAGGGUAACAAGCAAUAAUAUAUAUCCAGAUCAUGGAAACAAUACUCUUAAUAGCAACUGUUAAGAGAAAGCAGCAGCAGAGAAGGAACAAAUCUCGCUAGUACAACUUCAGGUUAUAUAGGACUUUGUAAACAUAGCAGGCAACUUUCCUCCCCAAACGACCAGAGCCUUACAGUCCAUUCCAUCCUUGCCUAUCAAAACUGCAAUCUAAGAUCUGGGCUUCUCUUUCUUCUCCUUGAAGAGAGCGAGCAGCGACACACCAGAUACCUUGACAACCUUGAACCUGACACCAGGAAUAUCUCCCACAGCAUGACCCUUACGACCGAAUCCAGCAAUCAGCACCUCGUCCUGAAGCAUCCAUCAAAGCCAAGAGGUUAGGUUGGUUGCAUAUAGCAGACAUGUCGCAUAUAUCUGAGCAAUGGGUGAGGGGCACAUACGUUUUCCUCGAUGAAGUUCAGGCAACCAUCAUUGGGCACAAAGGCAGCGAUCUUCUUCCCGUUCUUCACCAGCUGGACACGAGCACACUUACGGAUGGCAGAGUUAGGCUGCUUGGCCUCAAUACCGCUGCAGGGGACCAAUUGCACGUUGGUCAGGAUUCAAAACAUGAGAUAAAAACAAGGGAACAUAAAUCUGCUGUUCAACUUACAUCUUCUCCAAAACAAUGCCCUUGGCGUGAGACGAUCCAGCGAAGGGUUUCUUCCACUCAUUGCCCAAGUGGCUCUUCUUGUAUGCCUUGUCAGCCCACCUCUGGUUCCUGCGGUGGGUCUUGAGCUUGCGCCCGGCUCCCAUACCACGUGUCUUACUGUGAUAAGAAUUCAACCAUGCUUACAUUAAUUAAACAGAUGUCAAAAGUUAAAGCAGGUGUAUUACUACCAACUUGACAAGCAACAGGAAAAUCUUGACCAAAAAUCCAACAACAUAACUAUGCAAGAUGCAUAAAUAGGAUAUGUUCAUGAUGUAGUUGGAAGCACAGAGCUUAUGUUGCAGCCAACUACACAUGUGAACACAUCCCAAAGCAAGUCCUGAAAUAAAGAACAUGUCACUGAACUGAAGUGGUGCAUACUGCAUACACAUCCAUUUGGUACAAUCAUUUCUCCUUGCCUUCUAAACUGACAAGUAGUUAACAUAUUAAUACAUAUUGCAAUCAUGACAGCAAGGAGCUGGACACAUUCUAAACAUGAGCAAACUGAAACCAAACUAGAGGCUAUAAAGAAACUCGUAUUGUAUGCUACCAUGCACAACUUCCCGUGCCCAAUCAUCUGAGCAAAGGAAUACAGAUAACAUGGUGGCAACGAAUUUAUGUUGCUUAUGAAUAUGUUUAGCACUGAAGUUGUAUCUGAUCAGCACUGGACCGUCAAUAAGCUCAGUUCAUCGCAAUGGAACUACAAUCUCAUCCUCUGACCCCAGCACAAAUCAGCCUAAAUGACAUGGUUCUACUUGGCACUUGCUAGUCCAAGAACAUAGCACAAGAACAUCUACAUAUCAACUGAACGUGUGCAUAUGUUGCAACCAACUACAGAUAUGUAGAUGUGUACACAUUAAUUGCAACAAACUACGGAUAUGUACAUAUUCAAGGCAAAUCCUGGAAUAAAGAGCAUGUCACUGAACUGAGCUGGUGCAUACUGCAUACAUAUACAUAUGUUCCAACCAUUUCCCUUCGAAUUACAAACUAGCAACUAAUUAACAUAUUAAUCAUCUAUCACAAACAUAACGAGCAGGGAGGUGGAUAUACUCUAAACAUGGCCACCAUACAGAGCAUCAUGAAAACCACCUGCCUAGAGGUUAAAAAGGAAGACGUAUUGUAUGCUACCAUGCAUAGCUUCCACGGCCAGAUCAUCUGGACAAAGGAAUACAGAUAACACGGUGGCAACGAAUUCAUGUCGCUUAUGAAUAUGUUUAGCACUGACGUUGUAUCUGAUCAGCACUGGACCGUCAUUAAGCGAAGUUUCGUCGGAUCGGAACGACGAUCCGGUCCUCUAACCCUAGCACAAAUCAGCCUAGAUCACAUGGUACUACUGGGCAUUUGCUAGAACAAGAAAGCGAGACGAGAGCGUCGACAUAUCGGAGCAAGAACCGGGGAGAGCUACGAAGAAACAUCUCUGUCCAGGACCGAUAGACCAGGGGCGAGAAAGAGCAAGGUACCGCAUUAGGGUGAAGGAGGAGAAGAGCUCUUAGCACGCACCCCAUGAUGGCGGAGGGAGAGGCCGGGAGAUCUCCGGGCGGGCGGCGAGGGGAGAGGUCGGGAGAUCUCCGGUGGCAGGGGCUUCUUCGCGGGCGACGGCGGCGGCGGCGGCUAGAGGAGUGAGGAGGGGAGACGAGGGGGGAUAUAUAGCGGGGGUUUGGGCGUUUAGGGUUUCCGUGCGCCGACAUGCGUGCUGGCGUGAUGGAUCCAGUCUGGGUUUUUUCCUGCUUCUACCCCCGGAUAACACAUCUUUUCCACAUAUGACCCCAAAAUGUGCAUUUCUCAAAGGGCCGCGUGCACGAGUCGACAAGAGCUUUGCACGUCCAUGCUUCGUGAAUUCAUUUUGCUCGAUUUGUUUUUUGUUUUUGAGGGACUCGAUUUGUUUUGUUGGGUGAUGCAAAUCGGAGGAGACAGGGUUCACGGCUUUGAACUGUAGCUAGGAGUGCCAUUCAAGUCGAGUCAGAGUCAGUUUGGCCCAACUCGAUAGAGCUCGUUGUCUAGUUAGCUCAAUUUGACUUGUUAACAAAACUAGCUCACAGUUGAAAAUUGUGCAUCAUCAAAAUAGAGUUGCUUAUAGUAUAUGAAGAUCUGUCGCUUGUUGAUUGCGCCGCGUGCCAGAUAGCGUUACUCAUGAUGUACUAGCAGACUGUAAUUCUGUUUCCGAGGAAUAAAAACCCACAUUAUCCUGCAGAAGAAAACUAGCUCAAAUUCAAAUUUGGCUCAGACUCGUAUAACUCGCGAGCUAGCUCAUUUAACUUGUUAAGCCUGUUAUGAACUGUGAAUAACAAAAUAUGCGUAUUAUGUAUGACAACAAUCAACAACAAUAUUGAUGCUUAUCUUUUGGCCCUUUUGAUUAAUGAGUUAUUUGAUUAGUGAGCUAAGCGACUAACUUUUUUUUUGGAAAAGAAGAAUGACCACAGCCUCUGCAUCAAUCGAUGCAUGCAACCAUAGCUAAACGACUAACUCAUUAGCUUGGCUCGUUAAACUCAUUAUGUUAACAAGCUCAAAUUAAAACUUGACUCACUAUUCUCAAAUUCGAGUCGAGUUAAACCGGGUCAUGAGCUACUCGUUUAGCUUAUGAGUUUCAAGUUAAAGUUCCAGCCCUAACUGUAGCUAUGGACUAACUAAUAAUAUAAGUGGGGGGUUAUUUGUAGAAGAGUACAUAUGGAUCCUUCAGUUCCAUCUCUUCUCACGAGUAUGAUUUCAAUUGUGUGUGACUCGGAUUCACCUUAAAAGUAUCUUCCACUUUUUUGUACGAUCCAAACAAACAAGAUUGUAAUUGUGGUUUCAAUGUAUAAAGACAAAGAUUCAACAAAUGUGAUGGCUAUUGUGCACAACUCCUCUCCACAUCUUUCACCCCUGCCCCUGGCUCCCCGUGUCAGGGCAUUUUCAAUGAAAGUCAUCUAAUAAUAUUGUCAUGUGUAUGUGGAAAAGCUCAGACAUCCAACUGUGCCCAUCAAAUUCGGACCAUGUGCUAUGACUGAUAAUGGAUCGGGCGGUUGAUGUCUACUACACAACUUAUUCUUGUAGAUUCGUGUUGGGCCUCCAAGCGCAGAGUUUUGUAGGACAAUAGCAAUUUUUCCUCAAGCAGAUGACCUAAGAUUUAUCAAUCCAUGGGAGGCGUAGAAUGAAGAUGGUCUAUCUCCAACAACCCUGCAAUCAAAUACAAGAAAUCUCUUGUGUCCCCAACACACACAAUACAAUGGUAAAUUGUAUAGGUGCACUAGUUCAGCGAAGAGAUGGUGAUACAAGUGUAGUAUGGAUAGUAGAUAUAGGUUUUUGUAAUCUAAAAAUAUAAAAACAGCAAGGUAGAAGUGAUAAAACGGAGCACAAAUGGUAUUGCAGGCCUAUAGUUCAUACUUUCACUAGUGCAAUCUCUCAACAGUGCUAACAUAAUUGAAUCAUAUAACAAUCUCUUAAUGUGCGACAAAGAAUCACUCUAAAGUUUUUAUCUAGUGGAAAAUAUAAGAUGAAAUUGUUUGUAGGAUACAAAACCACCUCAAAGUUAUCAUUUUCGAUCAAUCUAUUGAGCUAUUCAUAUAAGUGUCACAAAUAGCCCAAGAGUUCGUACUAAAAUAACACCAUAUGAUGCACAUCAACCAACUCUAAUGUCACCUAGAUACUUCAAUGUCACCACAAGUAUCUGUGAGUUGAUUAUUCGAUACGCAUCAAACAACUUCAGAUUCAUAAUAUUCAAUCCAACACAAAGAAUUUCAAAGAGUGCCCCAAGGUUUCUACCGGAGAAAGUAGGACGAAACGUGCAUCAACCCCUAUGCAUAGAUUACCCCAAUGUCACCUUGGGAAUCCGUGAGUUGAGUGCCAAAACAUACAUCAAGUGAAUCAAUAUACCUCAUUGUCAUCGUGGAUAUAUAUCCAUAUGAAAGACAUACACCAACUGUUCUCAAAUCCAUAAAGUAUUCAAUCAUAUAAUAGUGAAACCUCAAAGGUAUAAACUCAAUUCAUCACAACAAGAUAGAGAGGAAGAAGCACCAUAUGAUCCAACUAUAUUAAGAAAGCUCGUGGUACAUCAAGAUCAUGCCAAAUCAAGAACACGAGAGAGCAGAGAUCAAACACAUAGCUACUGGUACAUACCCUCAGUCCCGAGGGUGAACUACUCCCUCCUCAUCAUGGAGACCUUUGGGGUGAUGAAGAUGGCCUCCGGUGAUGAUUUCCCCCUUCAGCGGGGUGCAGAAACAGGGCUCCAGAUGGUAUUUUGAAGGUAUAGAGGUUUGUGGCGGCGGAGUCAAAGUUCUAGGGUUAUUUCCAGGGGUUUCUCUAUUUAUAGGAUUUUUUGGCGUUGAUCUCACGCGAAAAGGAGCUAAGAUGGCCCAACGAGGCACCACAGCAAGCCGACCCCCCUAGGCGCACCCUGGUGCCUCGUGGGCACCUCGUUUCUCUUCUGGUCCUCCCACAAAGCUUCGGGAGUCUCUUUUGUUCCAAAAAAAUGUCAAAAAGUUUCAGCCCAUUCCGAGAACUUUUAUUUCUACACAAAAAACUACACUACGGUAGUUCUGUUGAAAACAACGUCCGUCCAGGUUAAUUCCAUUUAAAUCAUAUAAAUUUUCAACCAAACCAUAUAAAAUUGUUGUAAACAUGGCGUGAAUACUUCAUAAAUUAUAGAUACGUUGGAGACGUAUCAGCAUCUCCAAGUUGAAUUCCUGCUCGCCCUCGAGUAGGUAAAUGAUAAAAGAAAUAAUUUAUGAAGUGUGAAUGCUAGCAUAGUGUAUAAGUUUGAUCAAUGAUAAUUUCAGUCACUUUUCCUAGCAUCAUAACAACAACUCUUUCUCAUAAAACUCAUCAUGAUAAAAUAGCAAUCAAUUCACAUGUUAUGGUUCAAACAAUGCAUUCUCUUGAAACUUAACAACCUAUGUUCUUAGUCACCAAAUAAUUGCAAUUCAACUUAUUCUCAACAAAGUUUAAGUAAGAGCUCCACAUACUCAAUUAUCAUAUAGUCUUCUAUGAUUGUUAGUACUCGAAGCAUAUGUUGAAUAAAUGGCAUCCAUCAAACACAGGGAAAGAUAGGGGCUUGAUGUUUCGCUUCCCAACUUAUUUAUCGUAGAGAUAAUUGCCAACAAUAAUAAUUCAUGAUCAAAUAUAUUUGAAUGACCAUAUGUGCCUGUAUCUCCCCCCCCCCCCACAUGAUGCUUGCCAACUAAAGAAUAGUUGAGGUUGAAAUGAGAAUGAAUACUUAUUAACUCUUGCAUAAAAGUAAAAGCUGAAAACUAAAAGAUAGGCCCUUCACCGAGGGAAGUUGAGGUUGUCAUGCACUUUUGAUUUUUGAAUGUGCAAGCCCUUAAUGCAAAGGAAUGUCAUGUUAUAUUGUCCUUUGUGAUAGCAACCUUUAUUAUCCAGUCCGUCACUUUUAUUUCUUCACCAUCACAAGUUCGUACAACGCUUAUUUUUCCUUGUAAUAAAAGGCCAUACAUAUUUAGGAGCAAUUUUUAUUGCUUUUUGCACUGAUAACAACUUAUUUGAAGGAUCUUAUUCAAUCCAUAGGUAUAUAUGGCGGACUCUCAUGGCAAGAACCUGAGUUUAAGGUUUUUUUGAUGCACACGUAGUAUCUCUACUUAGUACGAAUUUUUGGCUAGCAAAAGAUCCUAAGCAGGCACCACAUGUUGGAGGAUCCAUAACAAUAUAACUUCUUUGCAAAUAUACCCAAACAUAACUCAUUACAUCGUCAUCCUUGUCCAACUUCAACUAAUUUGCUCAAAUUUGAAAAUAAUUAAUGGGUAUUCAUGAUCAUAAAAAGAUGUCCAAGAUAAUAUAUUUAUAUGUGAAAGUUCUCUUCCUUAUACUAAUCAUUCAUGAAUUGCUUGUAUGACCAAUAUUGUGAUUGCCAAGCUUCGAUAGAUUUCACUUUCUAACCCCAAUGCAAAACUACUACUAGACAUGAUAUAAGCAUAUGAAGCACAUAUAAUUUCAACUUUAUUGAAAGAACAUGCGGUGCCCCCAUGUUUGGUUUUGGUAAAUCUCUAUGGUCUAAUGGUUGUCUUGAGUUAUAUUUUAAGGAUUUGUCCAUAGGCUUUUCUUGAAGUCCAUGUGUUGGUUUCAAGGAGUUUAUGAGUUGACCAAGGUGCUAUUAAGGAAUUAUCCAAAGAUUGGUCAUGUGAGUGUUGAGCUUAUUGCAAGCAUGUCUUGAAGAAUAAGAUUGUGUGAUCAUUCAUGUUUACCUUCAAGACAUCAUCCAAAUGAAGAGAGUUGGAAAGAUUCAAGGUUGAUCAAGACUAAGUCAAGAGUGAAUCAAGUUGAUCAACUCACAAAGCGUAGAAGAUGUACCGAGAGGGAUCAAGUGAUCCCAUGGUAUGAUAAGCAUUGUCCAUUGCACUUUGUGUACUAACCCAUGGUAUAUGUGAGAGUUCUUUGUGGGGUUAGGUACGUGUCCAUGGGCUUGCGUCAAGAGGAAGAUAUCAUACAACCCAUGGAAAGGAUGGCAUCAAAUGGUGAUCGUCAUCAAGAUUGCCAUGUGCAAGUUCAAGUGGAGCAUCACGAAGAGAUCAAGUGCUUGAAUCUUGCCAUCCGUUGUGGUGUCAAUGGACUUGUGAAGAUGUGCCGAAGAGUGGCUCACCCACAGUGGACUAUGGGGGAGCAAUCAUCUAGUCUUCAUUGAGCCAACGCAAUCAAGAAAGGUGGUCCAACUUGAGGGAGUCAAGAUCGUCAUCAUCUAGCUCAAGUGGACCAUGUGCAAGGCAAAGGUUUUCUCUUGAUAGGUUUUCUAUUUUACCGGUCUCAUGGUGGUAGUUGGGAGACCGGGUUAUAGGAUCGUUUGCCGUACUAUCAAGGGGGGCUCUCAAGUUGGUAGCUUGAUCAUAUCGUUAGUAGAGAGAUCAAACUAUUGCAUCCUUGCAUCAUGUUUCUUGGUUCUUAUUUGGUUCUCUUUGUGAGUCUUAGAGCUUAUGGUCAUCUUGAUAACAAACUUGAGUUCAUCGAAAAUGGAGUUCGCAUGCGUCUAUUAUGAUGUUUUCGGUGUUGGAGGUUUUACCAGUCUUAUCCGAGAAAGGGUUCUCGCCAUUUUCUUAUGGGCAUUUUCUAAUUUGCUUCUUAUUGAUAUUUCUUUCAAGAUUGUGUUAGCCCUUGUCACUAUCUUUCCAACAAACUUGGUUUCAUCGAAUUUGGAGUCCGUUUGCAAAAGUUGUGGCAGUUUUGGUGUUCUGAAAAGGCUGCAGCGGUACUACCGCGAAUUGGAACGGAUGUAAUUUUUUACUACCGCUCCAGAGCGGUACUACCGCGGCUCCUACAGCGGUAGUACCGCUCCGGAUCAAAAAACUCGUCCCAAGUCUUGCAGAGGUAGGUACGGAAGUAUUUUUUUUGUACCGCAAGCAGUAGUACCGCGAUCCCUAGCGGUAGGACCGUGAGGACGAGCGGUAGUCCCGCCCUGUGCGGGUUGUGAGUAUAACGGUUGGAUUUUCCCCCACCUAUAAAAGGGGGUCUUCUUCCCCAUUGAACCUUAUCCUUUGAACUCGUGUUCUUCCCCCAUUGUUGACCUUCUUCGAGCUUGCUAACUCUCAAUCCCUCCAUGGAUUCUUGCUAGUUUUUAAGGGAAAAGAGAGAGGAGAUCUAGAUCCACAUUUCCACCAAUCACUUUCUCCUCUAUGUGAGGGGAACCCAUUGGAUCUAGAUCUUGGAGUUCUUGGUGUUCUGCUUCUUGUUCUUCCUCUCAUCUUCCUCCCUAGCAUUAGUUGCUUCGGUGGGAUUUGAGAGAGAAGGACUUGGGCACUCCGUGUGCCCUUGCCAUUGCAUUUGGUGCAUCGGUUUGAGUUCUCCACCGUGAUACAUGGAAGUUAAAAGUUGAGAAGCUUAUUACUCUUGGGUGCUUGGUGCCCUUGAGCUUGUUCCUCUUGGGUGCUUGGGCACCCUAGAUGGUUGGUGGUGUUCGGAGCUCAAUCAUUGUGGUGUAAAGCUCCGGGCAAGCGUCGGGGUCUCCAAUUAGGUUGUGGAGAUCGCCCCGAGCAAUUUGACGGGUUCCGGUGACUGCCCCAAGGGUUGCCAAAGUGUACGGGUUCGGUGACCGCCCCCAAGGGUUGCCAUUUGUACGGGUUCGGUGACCGCCCUCAAGGGUCCCUUAGUGGAAUCACGGCAUCUUGCAUUGUGCGAGGGCGUGAGGAGAUUACAGUGGCCCUAGUGGCUUCUUGGGGAGCAUUGUGCCUCCACACCGCUCCAAACGGAGAUUAGCAUCCGCAAGGGUGUGAACUUCGGGAUACAUCAUCGUCUCCGCAUGCCUCGGUUAUCUCUUACCCGAGUCCUUUACUUAUGCACUUUACUUUGUGAUAGCCAUAUUGUUCUUUGUCAUAUAUCUUGCUAUCUCAUAGUUACUUAUCUUGCUUAGCAUAAGUUGUUGGUGCACAUAGGUGAGCCUAGUUGUUGUAGGUUUUGUGCUUGACAAAUUAACCGUUAGGUUUAUUCCGCAUUUGUUCAAGCCUCAACCAUAAUUAUUUUAAAGCGCCUAUUCACCCCCCCUCUAGGCGACAUCCUCGAUCUUUCAAUUGGUAUCAGAGCCUCGUCUCUCUUUAUUAGGCUUCACCGCUUAGAGAGUAAAGAUGUCGACUAGGGGAUUAGGAUUCUCUAACACUCUUAGUUUCGAUGGCACAAAUUUUGAUGUUUGGGUAAUUCGCAUGCUUAAUCUCUUUAGGGUCAUGGACCCAAAUUUAGAGCGAAUUGUAGAUAUGGGUUUCUCUCCUCCAAAGGAUCCCCAAAGAUUAUCUUUAGAGGAUGAGAAAAACUCUUAUCUCAAUGCUCAAGCUUCUAAUGUGCUUUUCGAUGCUUUAAGCAAUGUAGUUAUAUUUCAACUCAUGCCGUUCCGAGAUGCUCAUGAGUUGUGGACAAAGCUUCAAGAUAAAUAUGGUGUGUCCAAGAUUUGUGGGGAUGAUUGUUCUCCCUCCACCUCCGGUCGUAUAGUCUUCUCAACCUCUUCUACUUCACCUACAUGUGGUUUUCCACAAGGUAAUGAUAUGGUGAGUAGUGUUGGUCAUUGCAAUGAUGAUAGUAUGCUUAUUGUGGAUGAUCCUUCAUCACUAUAUUAUUGCAAUGCUCCCUCUUUGGGCUUUAACACUUUGAGCACUCCAAAUGUUUCACAUGCUUGUGUUGAUAGUCCUUGCAUAUCAUGUAGAAAUUGCUUGACUAAAUAUCAUGAUGAUAUGCUUGCUAUGUCUUGUUGCCAUGAUAAAAAUGCAUCUAUUUCCUCAAAUUGUUGUGCUAACAAUGUAGAGGAAACCAAAUACUCCAUGGAACAAUAUGUGGUGUUUAAUGGUGCCUCAAGGGAUCCUACAUCAUCAUCUAUUGCGUUUUGCCUUAUGGCUAAGGCGUCAAAGGUAUCUCCUACUUUGUACCCCAAUAUGUCUCUUGAUGAUGAUGUUGAUGCUAAUGAUGAUGAGGAUAAUGAUGAAGAGAAUGAUAAUGUUGCCUCCUUAAAAAUUAAGGGGGAAAUGGUUUUUAAAGCUCUUCAUAAAAAUAAAAUUGCUCGUUCCAUCUUCAUGGAAAUUAUGUCCAUUGCUAUUGAGAGCAAGAAAUAUAUUGAUGAGUUGGAAUCUCGUCUUGAGGAGCAUGAGGUCACCAUUGAUAAAAUGGAAGGUCAUGAGCGUGAUUACGCUAAUGAGAUUGCGGACCUCUCUCAAGCUCUUGAACUUGAACAAACCACCAAGGAAUCUCUUGAGGAGACUUUUGCUCUAGAAUUGCCUAGAGUGAAGGAAUCUACUGAUAGAGCUCUUGAGGUGGCCAAUGUUUUUGAAACUAAAAAUGCUAAGCUUGAAGUUGCUCAUGCUAGACUCCUUGAGGAUUUUGAGCACCUCGAAAAUGGCUCAAGGGUCAUCAAGGGUGAGCUCAUCAAACUCACCGAGUCUCAUGCUCAACUUGAAGCUUCUUAUUUAAAAGAGCUUGCCAAGUUGCCUUCUCCUCUUGUUGUUAACGAUGAUGCUUGUGCUACUAAUUCUAUUACUUGUGAAGCAUCCAUUUUGAAGGAGAAUGUUCAGCUACGGGCUCAACUUGAGGUGCUAUCUUGCAAUUAUGGGAAAUUGGAAGAAAGUCAUGAAAAGCUCUCAAGCUCUCAUGAUGAUCUUCUAGUAUCCCAUAGUGUGCUAAGGAUUGCUAAGGUAACAUCUAGUGAGCCUCAUGUGGAUACUAGCACUACUUCUAGUCAAAAUAUUAUAUUGCCAUGUGCUAGUCCUUGUAAUUCAUCUACUCACAAUGUUGGUACAUCUUGUGAUGAAUUGCUUUCCUUGCCUUGUUGCUCUAGCGAUGAAGCUUAUACUUCCUCUAGUACUUGUGUUGAGACUAACCAUGUAGAGGAAAUCAAAGAGCUCAAGGCCCAAGUCACUUCUUUGAAGAAAGACUUGGAAAAGUGUCAUGAAGGGAAAUCCACACUCAACAAUAUCUUGAGUGUGCAAAAAUCCCCCAAUGACAAAGGUGGACUUGGAUUAAACUCCAAUAAGAAGAAGAAGUCCAAGAUGAACAAAAAGAAGGGCCAAGAACAAGUCAAGAAUUCGGCCAAGAUUGUUUGCUUCAAGUGCAAAGUAGAAGGGCAUCAUGUUAGAUCUUGCCCAUUGAAGAAGAAGGCCAUUAGUGUCAAGCAACAAGGGAAGAGGGCACAAGUUCAAUCUCAUGCUCAACCUCAAGUUGAAGAAAGGCCACUUCCCAAGAAGACUCAAGCUAAUGCUUCUCUUGUGGAAAAAUCAAGUGAGAAGAAAGUGAAGAGUAGACGUUGCUACUUAUGUCGUGAGAAAGGUCACGUCGCUUCUUCAUGCACUAGUGGUAACUUAUCCAACCCAAUUAUUAUUGAUGAUAUCUAUUCUCUUGGGAAGGAUAAGGUUGGCAAUGUGUUUGCCAAGUUUGUUGGUACUCAAAGUGGUGUCAAGAAAAGAACCAUUUGGGUAGCCAAGCCUAUUGUGACUAACUUCUUAGGACCCAACUUGGUUGGGGACCAACAAGCUCAAACUGGAUCAAUAGGUGUUUAUGGAGGUCAUUGGAGACUUGGCUACAUUAUGAAGAAUUAAGGGGACUUCAUCUUUCUUGUUGUCUCAAGCCAAGUCAAUUGGGUUGUCAAGUUUCUAUCUUAUAUCCAAUGUGCCUCCUUGCGGUAACUUGUACUUAAAUUUUUUACAUUGAAAGUUACUUGCCCCUUUGCAUGUUUUGGUUUUGUUCCUUGCAUGUGUUUGUAUAUGUUGUGCUUCCAACUUGCUUAUCUUGAGCAAUCAAGUAUGUGUGUGUUGGUUUGCACAUCAUGUACAUGUGCGUCGUGCAUUGAGCCUUUUUGCUUGUUGUUUGUAUCCUAGUUGGCUCGUGUGAGGGAUUAAUGGUACAUCCCAUUUUGGGGGAGUGAUGUGCUUUGUGCACCUCACAAUCCUAUAAAUGUGUGUACAUGAGGAAUACCAUCUAGUAUUGAUAUUACAAGAUUAUCUAGUCGCUUGGUGGUAUAUCUCUCAUGAGAAAUUCAAAUUCUAAAAAUUACAUUGAUUAUCUCUUGUUGGUUCCUCUUAUUGCCUCUUGUUAAGUUCUUAUUGGUAUCACAUUAUGGGGGAGUAAUAUGCUAUGUGCAUAGUACAAGCCUAGAAAAUGUGUACAUUUGAGAUAUUGUCACCUAGAAUUGAUAUAGUAAUUUAUCUUGUUCCUAGGUGGCAUGUUAGCUCUACAAGUGGCAAUUUCCUUGUGUGUGUUGUGAAGAUGAUGUUGGAUAUCCUUGUUAUCUACCACCGGGAAUUAUUUCCAAAUACUCCUUGUCUUUUGACAAUUGGUAGUCACUUAUGUGUGGUAGAAUUUAUUGAUCAUCUUUACAUUGGCUUUUGUUUUUAUUUGCCUUUUCUCUUGCAAGGUUUGUGUCAACUCCCGUUGUCUUCCAUAACACUUGUGGAUCUUGUUAAUUUCUUGUUCUUGUCUAGUGUUUUCUAGAUAUAGUGAAAGUGGUGAUCCCACCUUGUGCAUUUUGUAUUCAAAAGCAAAUUCUCUAUAGUGCACAACUCGUGGGGGAGCUAUCCUAUUUUCUUUAGAACACUCUUCUUGUGAUCCUUAUCAAGUGUGUGUGUUGGUGGAAGGCAAGCCGUUUUCUUUUGGUACCUUGUGCCAUCAUAAAACUUUGCCGAGAGCUUGGUUUGUUUGGAACCAUCCUCUCAUUUGGAGUUUGACAUCUUUAUUUUAGUGUGUAUCGAUGGAUAUCUCAUUCCUUGAUGUAUCUUUAAUGAUAUCUUCCAAGUGAUGAUUUCUCCAUUUGGUAUCCUUUUCGCUUGGCAUUUCUUUGUCUUUUCGUUUCGGAUCUUGAAAGUUUUGAGCAUGCAUGUUUACUUCAUGUAUUUUAUUUGGCAUGCUUUCUUUCUUUGACCCAAUAUAUAGGGGAAACUCCACCAAGUCUCAAAUUGGAUGAGAUGUGCAUGAUGUUUAUUUUCAUAUCUAUAUGCACAUAUUUAUGUGGAGUUUGUCCUAUGUAUUGGUGUUUCUAACUAUGUGGUCCCAAUGAGUUUGGGUACCGUUUAGUUUGUGUUGUUCUUCUAGGAACAUUUGGAGAUACAUUGGAUGCUCGGCUCACUCACAAGGAAGGUGUUGUCACCAUGUGCAUAUUGGAGUCAAGCUAGGAUGAUCAAUGAACUACUAUCUACCUUCAAUUGGUAUCUACUACAUCCUUCCAAUGAUAUCUCGGUAACAAGUAUCUAUUCAUGCUUUCCUCUCUUGCAUUCAACCUUGUGUAGGUUGCAUCUUGGCAUGAUAUUCAUUUCAUAUCUUGUGAUACUUGUUUCCUUUCUCAAAGCAUCCCAACGAUGAUCUCUUGUUGCUAGUUGUGAUGUCUUUGAUGGAUGUGUGUCUGGAAUUCAUUUAUAUACAAUAAGACCAUAUCUAGCCAAGUGCUAUGCUUGCAAGCAAAUAUCUUAUUGGUAUAUUUAUGAUUUCCUUGUGGAUAUCUGGUUCCUUCGUGUUGUAACUAUUUCAGGUGUACAUCCUUCUUUGUAGAUAUAUGUCAUCAUGAUUUUGUCUACCUAGAACCUUAUACACUUGAGAGAAAUUACAUCUCUAGUUGAUUUCCUUUCCUUCACGUCCACCUUUUAUUUCUUAUGUUAUUUCUUUGGUGGCUCCCUGAAAGCAUUUGCCUUGAGUGCGUGUUUUACUUCGUUGCAUCUUGAUGCACUCUUUUGUGGUGAAGAUCUUUUUCCUUUUGCUUGUCCUGAUGAGGCCUUUGCCAUCUAAUUGGUAUCCCUCGUCUUGAUGAGGCUUUCAUCGUCUAUCUUCACCAUGGGUUGUCACAAGCAUUGCUUCUUUAUAUGCUUAUUAGUGAGCUUGUGAACCCGUUUGCAAGUUGUGUGUGGGAAUGACAUGCCUUGCACCGUGUAUCUCUUUCUUUCAGGACUAUAUUGAUGCUUAAUGCUCAUCCGUACAUUAGUCUUCUCAAGUGCAUUGCCUUGACUCACACACAUCGGUUUUGGUUGAGCCUAUUCUUAAGUUGCCUCCCUUACGUGUUGCUCAACCAUGUGCUUGUUGCAAGCGCUAGGCUUUGUUUCCUAUAUGCUCACUUGCACUGGAUGUGAGUUUCUAUUGAUUUUGGGGGAGCUAUGAUCCUAUUUUGUGCACUUUGUAUUCAAAUACAAAAAUUCUUAUAUGUGCACAAAUCAUGGGGAGCGUCUCUAGUUUCUUUAGAACAAUCCUUUGCUCAUAUCAUAAUAUCUUUAUUCUUGUGGCACAUAGGAUCAUUGUUCUAGUUGGUUCAAUUGAUAUCCGUUGAUUGCUUGCUUCUUUUGGUAUCUUCUGAUUGCUUGUCUCUCUCUUUGUUAUGUCUUUGUGGCAUAUAUCUCUGUUGCAAUCUUUGGGCCUCAAUAUAGUUUGUCUUCCUCCAAGUAUUGACAGUUGGAUAUGUGUAUUGCAUUCCACUCUCUUGUUGAGAAAUACACAAUUUAUGGAGGACCACAAUUUAUUUUGGCCUUCUAAGCUUUUCGCCCAUUUUGGCAAUCGAUGCCAAUGGGGGAGAAGUUUCAAAGAGUUUUGUGGAGAAGGUUUCAACGUUUUCUCCUUGCUUUGGUUUUGUUCCUAAGCAUUUGCAUCUCAUUCUCCUGCAUCAUUGGUUGUUUCAUAGCAUUGUGAUGCAUAAUUCCUUAUAUAAACUCUCUUGAAAGUGAUUGUCAUCAAUUACCAAAAUGGGGGAGAUUGAAAGAACAUGCGGUGCCCCCAUGUUUGGUUUUGGUAAUUGAUGACAAUCUCUAUGGACUAAUGGUUGUCUUGAAUUAUAUUUUAAGGAUUUCUACAUAGGCUUUUCUUGAAGUCCAUGUGUUGGUUUCAAGGAGUUUAUGAGUUGACCAAGGUGCUAUUAAGGAAUUAUCCAAAGAUUGGUCAUGUGACUGUUGAGCUUAUUGCAAGCAUGUCUUGAAGAACAAGAUUGUGUGAUCAUUCAUGUUUACCUUCAAGACAUCAUCCAAAUGAAGAGAGUUGGAAAGAUUCAAGGUUGAUCAAGACUAAGUCAAGAGUGAAUCAAGUUGAUCAACUCACAAAGCGUAGAAGGUGUACCAAGAGGGAUCAAGUGAUCCCAUGGUAUGGUAAGCAUUGUCCAUUGCACUUUGUGUACUAACCCAUGGUAUAUGUGAGAGUUCUUUGUGGGGUUAGGUACGUGUCCAUGGGCUUGCGUCAAGAGGAAGAUAUCAUACAACCCAUGGAAAGGAUGGCAUCAAGUGGCGAUCGUCAUCAAGAUUGCCAUGUGCAAGUUCAAGUGGAGCAUCACGAAGAGAUCAAGUGCUUGAAUCUUGCCAUCCAUUGUGGUGUCAAUGGACUUGUGAAGAUGUGCCGAAGAGUGGCUCACCCACAGUGGACUAUGGGGGAGCAAUCAUCUAGUCUUCAUUGAGCCAACGCAAUCAAGAAAGGUGGUCCAACUUGAGGGAGUCAAGAUCGUCAUCAUCUAGCUCAAGUGGACCAUGUGCAAGUCAAAGGUUUUCCCUUGAUAGGUUUUCUAUUUUACCGGUCUCAUGGUGGUAGUUGGGAGACCGGGUUAUAGGAUAGUUUGCCGUACUAUCAAGGGGGGCUCUCAAGUUGGUAGCUUGAUCAUAUCGUUAGUAGAGAGCUCAAACCAUUGCAUCCUUGCAUCAUGUUUAUUGGUUCUUGUUUGGUUCUCUUAGUGAGUCUUAGAGCUUAUGGUCAUCUUGAUGACAAACUUGAGUUCAUCGAAAACGGAGUUCGCAUGCGUCUACUAUGAUGUUUUCGGUGUUGGAGAUUUUACCGAUCUUAUCCGAGGAAGGGUUCUCACCAUUUUCUUAUGGGCCUUUUCUAAUUUGCUUAUUAUUGAUAUUUCCUUCAAGAUUGUGUUAGCCCUUGUCGCUAGCUUUCCAACAAACUUGGUUUCAUCGAAUUCAGAGUCCGUUUGCAAAAGUUGUGGCAGUUUGGUGUUCUGAAAAGGCUCCAGCGGUACUACCGCGAAUUGGAGAGGAUGUAAUUUUUUACUACCGCUCCAGAGCGGUACUACCGCGGCUCCUACAGCGGUAGUACCGCUCCAGACCAAAAAACUCGUCCCAAGUCCUGCGGAGGUAGGUACAGAAGUAUUUUUUUUGUACCGCAAGCAGUAGUACCGCGAUCCCUAGCGGUAGUACCGUUAGGACGAGCGGUAGUACCGCUCUGUGCGGGUUGUGAGUAUAACGGUUGGAUUUUCCCCCACCUAUAAAAGGGGGUCUUCUUCCCCAUUGAACCUUAUACUUUGAACUCGUGUUCUUCCCCCAUUGUUGACCUUCUUCGAGCUUGCUAACUCUCAGUCCCUCCAUGGAUUCUUGCUAGUUUUUAAGGGAAAAGAGAGAGGAGAUCUAGAUCCACAUUUCCACCAAUCACUUUCUCCUCUAUGUGAGGGGAACCCAUUGGAUCUAGAUCUUGGAGUUCUUGGUGUUCUGCUUCUUGUUCUUCCUCUCAUCUUCCUCCCUAGCACUAGUUGCUUCGGUGGGAUUUGAGAGAGAAGGACUUGGGCACUCCGUGUGCCCUUGCCAUUGCAUUUGGUGCAUCGGUUUGAGUUCUCCACCGUGAUACAUGGAAGUUACAAGUUGAGAAGCUUAUUACUCUUGGGUGCUUGGUGCCCUUGAGCUUGUUCCUCUUGGGUGCUUGGGCACCCUAGACGGUUGGUGGUGUUCGGAGCUCAAUCAUUGUGGUGUAAAGCUCCGGGCAAGCGUCGGGGUCUCCAAUUAGGUUGUGGAGAUCGCCCCGAGCAAUUUGACGGGUUCCGGUGACUGCCCCCAAGGGUUGCCAAAGUGUACGGGUUUGGUGACCGCCCCCAAGGGUUGCCAUUUGUACGGGUUCGGUGACCGCCCUCAAGGGUCCCUUAGUGGAAUCACGGCAUCUUGCAUUGUGCGAGGGCGUGAGGAGAUUGCGGUGGCCCUAGUGGCUUCUUGGGGAGCAUUGUGCCUCCACACCGCUCCAAACGGAGAUUAGCAUCCGCAAGGGUGUGAACUUCGGGAUACAUCAUCGUCUCCGCGUGCCUCGGUUAUCUCUUACCCGAGCCCUUUACUUAUGCACUUUACUUUGUGAUAGCCAUAUUGUUCUUUGUCAUAUAUCUUGCUAUCUCAUAGUUACUUAUCUUGCUUAGCAUAAGUUGUUGGUGCACAUAGGUGAGCCUAGUUUUUGUAGGUUUUGUGCUUGACAAAUUAACCGUUAGGUUUAUUCCGCAUUUGUUCAAGCCUCAACCGUAAUUAUUUUAAAGCGCCUAUUCACCUUCCCUCUAGGCGACAUCCUCGAUCUUUAAUUUAUGAUAUUCAAUUCAUUCAACAAUCUACUCUUAGGAUUUAAGUGAAGCACAAGAGUAAAGGAUAAACUACUCCAAAAAGAUAUAAGUGAAGAUCAAAUGAGUAGUUAAACAAUUAAGUAGCUAUGUGAGGACUCUCUCUCAUUUAGAACUUACAGAUCUAAAUAUUUUCUAUUCAAAUAGCAAACAAAACAAAAUAAAAUGACACUCCAAGAAUAGCACAUCUCAUGUGAAGAAGCAAAAACUUAGGCUCAACCGAUAUUAACCGAUGAUUGUUGAUGAAGAAAGAUGGGAUGCCUACCGGGGCAUCCCCAAGCUUUGAUGCUUGAGAUUUCUUGAAACAUUAAAUUGGCAUGCCUUGGGCAUCCCCAAGCUUGAGCUUUUGUAACUUCUUAAUUCCUCUCAUAUCACGGUUUCCCUAAUGUGGGUGUUCCAGACUAAGGGUCCUCGGGCUGACGGUCAAUCUCUCGUGGGCCAGACUGGUGGGCCGCUUUGGAUCUCGUGCUGGAAGGCCGAACUAUAGGUGACUUCAUGUUCGGGCAGGAAACCUCCAAAGCCUUGGUGUAUCGUCCAAGUCAAGAUCAUGGUGAUGGCAUGUUUAUCUCCUGAUGGUAACCGACCAUGUGUAACCCUAGGUACCUGAUACGUCCAUUUUGCAUCAUGUUUUCCUACUGUUAUUUAUAGUAUUUUUAUUCAAUAUAACACUCUGUGGAAUAAUCCAAUGGCUUUUCUCUCAUAAUAUGCAAGGUUUACACAAAGAGGAGAAUAUCGGCAACUGGAAUUCUGGACCUAAAAAAGCUAUGUCAGAGAUACCUAUUCUGCACAUCUCCCAAUAAGCUGAAAUUUUAUGGAGAAUUAUUUUGGAAUAUAUAAACAAUAUUGGAGAAAAUAAAUACCAGAGGGGGCCACCAAGGUGCCCACUAGGCACCACGGUGCGCCUGCCCCCCUAGCGCAACCCACCUCGAAGCAUUUGAGAGAGAGAAAUCCUUGCGAGGACAAAGCCCAAACACCCAGAGCCAAAGAGUGUUAGGCAUCACUGAAGUCUUUCUGUCUGUGUGACUUGAAGACUUAUUACACUUGAGGACUGUGAAUCCUCCAGCCGGUUAGGCGUCGCGUUCUGAGCAUCCAAGAGUCAUUGUGGAUUGCCGGUGAACGAAGUCUGUGAAGGUUUGGAAGUCUCCUUUGAAGACUUGACUGGGUGUCCUUAGCUCAAGGGGAAUAAGGUGAAGACACGGUCUUCUGAGUUAAAUCUCAGCCUCCCUAACCAGACGUACAGUUGUCACAUCAAUUGGAACUGGUCCAACAAAUCAUGUGUCUUCAACAAGCAACUGGUUCUAUCCCUUCCAACCUUACUUAAGUUUGUCUUCGUGAAGUCAUUGCUUAUCUGUAUAUCUGUUUGACUUCAUUGCUUGACUACUAUUGUUGAUUGGCUUCACACUAUCUUCCAUCUUGAUCCUUACUACCUAACUGCUAGUAGUCCUGUAUUUUCACAUCAUUACAUACUUGACUAUGGCUUGUUUAGGGUAGUUUAUCUUCCGCUGCAUAUCAAUUAGGUUGUUUCUGUUGUUUGUCUUUGAAACUUCCAAGUUUUGAAGACUUUCAUAAAAAUCGCCUAUUCACCCCCCCUCUAGUCGAUACUAGCACUUUUAAUUGGUAUCAGAGCAAGGUACUCCCUUGUUCUGUGUGAUUCGGUUUAACCACCUGGAGUUUCAGCUAUGUCGACUGCAGGGAUAAUCAAGGUCUCUGCUGCUUGCCCCGUGUUCGAUGGAACUGAAUAUCCCUACUGGAAGAAUAAGAUGCGCAUGCAUCUUGAAGCCAUUGAUGUCGACCUCUGGUAUGUCGUCAAGAAUGGCGUUCCCAAAACUGGUGAAGGUGUCACCCCCACUGAUGUCAAGAAGUUCAUUCAACUGGACUCUACUGCAAAGAACAUCAUCUGUGGUCAUCUGACCAAAGGACAGUAUGGCCGUGUGAGUGCUCUGGAAACGUCGAAGCUAGUCUGGGACUGGCUAUCCAAGGUCAAUGAAGGCGUUUCAACCCAGAGAGAUCAAAGAAUCAGUGUUCUUCGCAACCUCUUCAACCGCUUCAAGAGAAACGACAACGAAAAUGUCCAGCUCAUGUUUGAUUGCCUCACUGAUAUCACAAAUGAACUUCAAGCUCUUGGCGCAACUGAGAUUACCAAGCAUGAAAUCAUCAAGACACUGCUGAGAUCACUUGACAGCUCCUUUGACACCCUUGCCCUCAUGAUACAAGAACAUCCUGACUUCAAGACACUCGAUCCGUCUGAUAUACUUGAGAGGCUCAACACACAUGAGUUCCAGCUAUCUGAGAAAAGAGAUAUCUAUGGUCCAAGCUAUGGCCGAACUCGUGCUUUGAAGGCAAAAGUUGUUUCCUCAUCUGAAGAAGAGUCUGACUGCAGUUCUGAAGAUCCUGAAGACAUUGGAAGGGAACUUGCUAUGCUUGUGAAGAAGUUCCAGAAAUUCACACAUGAUCACAAGAAGAGAACCUGCCACAAGUGCAAGAAACCUGGUCACUACAUAUCUGAGUGUCCACAGUGUGACAAUGAGAAGAAGAAGAAGAAAAGCAAGGAAUAUGAUUCUGAUGACAAGAAGAAGAAGAAAUCCUCAAAGUCUUCUAAGUCUUCUUCCAAGUCUUCAUCAUACAAGAAGAGCUCAUCUAGCAAGGCUCGUGCUUUUGUUGGCAAGGAAGUGGAUUCAGAGGAGUCUGCUUCGGAGGAGGCAGAGGUGGAGUCUGGAGAGGAGUCUGACCCUGGCGUUGCAAGUCUGGCUCUAGCCACUGCCUAUGUUGCCAAGUCCAUCUUCAACACUGAAUACAAUGACUUCCACACCAACGCUGAAGCUAAUGACGAAGAUGAUCCUACUCCCACCUACUGCUUCAUGGCACGUGGUGCCAAGGUAAAAUCACGCGAUGCUUACUUUCAAACUUCAAGUGAAGAUGACUCUGAUUGUGAAUCCAAACCCAGCUACAAAACACUUGCUAAAAUUGCAACUGAACAACAAAAGGCUAUGGAACAUACUCAAAAACUGUUAGACAAAAGCGAUGACCUGUUGGACGCUGAAAUGACCUGUUCACAGUCCUUAGUUGAUGACAUAAAAAAUCUUCAUGCUAAGUACCAAGAACUUGAAUGUCGUCAUGAAUCGCUCUCAACUACUUAUGAAAGGCUCUCCUAUGAUUAUCUUCAAAGGAAACAAGAGCUUGAGAAAUUGAGAGCGGCUCAUGAAGAUCUUCAAAAGGUGAAUGAGUCACUUCACGCCCAACAGAUCAGUUCCACUCAGGAAGGAUUUGAACCACCAUGUCUAAAAUGCAUUGAGCAUGAUAAUGCUACAUCUGUUGCUGAAUGUUCCAUUGCUGCUACUGUUUCAUUGUCUUCACCUAUUGAUGUGGUCACUAACCCCUUUGCGGAGGAUACCACUGCUGUUGCUGAUGAAAAUGCUAUGUUGAAGACAUUGCUUGAAACAGGGAUGUACAAAAGUUUGAAGGGACAUCAGACUCUCUACGAUGUCCUCAAAAAGCAGAUCCUGAACCGAAACCCUAGGAAAGAGGGUGUUGGGUUCGAAAGGAAAAUGAAUGUUGAUGGCUGUCGGUGUCAAAACCGGCGGAUCUCGGGUAGGGGGUCCCGAACUGUGCGUCUAGGCGGAUGGUAACAGGAGACAAGGGACAUGAUGUUUUACCCAGGUUCGGGCCCUCUCGAUGGAGGUAAAACCCUACGUCCUGCUUGAUUAAUAUUGAUGAUAUGGGUAGUACAAGAGUGGAUCUACCACGAGAUCAAGGAGGCUAAACCCUAAAGCUAGCCUAUGGUAUGAUUGUUGUAAUGUAUGUUGUGUCCUAUGGACUACAGCCCUCCGGUUUAUAUAGACACCAGAGAAGGCUAGGGUUACACAGAGUCGGUUACAAUGGUAGGAGAUCUACAUAUCCGUAUCGCCAAGCUUGCCUUCCACGCCAAGGAAAGUCCCAUCCGGACACGGGACGGAGUCUUCAAUCUUGCAUCUUCGUAGUCUUGGAGUCCGGCGGACGAUGAUAGUCCGGCUGUCCGGACACCCCCUAGUCCAGGACUCCCUCAGUAGCCCCCGAACCAGGCUUCAAUGACGAUAAGUCCAGCGCGUAUAUAGUCUUCGGCGUUGCAAGGCGGGUUCUCCCUUCGAGUUCCAUGUACCUGCCGAUCAGCGUCCGGCUUCGUCAUAAAUACUGUGUUUCUUGGCUUCUACGCCCAAUAAUGGCCUUCUUCCACGCGUCGCACGAAUGCGAAAAGCCAGGGUGUCUUUUAUGUUUCACCCCCUAGUCGUGCGAGUCAUCCGCCUACAAAAGAGGCAAAAAUCCAGAUCCAAACCACACCAUCUUCCCUCCGCGAAUACUCAUCGGAGCACUUUUGACCUAAAAAUCCAUUCCACCAUGGACCGUCAACGCGGCUCCUCUUCUCGCGCUCCCAGCCCAUCGCCAGGGGAUUGGAGGAGGUGCUCUGUUCCACACAACGAGCUAGAGAAGCUCCAAGCGGGGGGAUAUCUCCCUCCGGCCUUCAUGGUCCCAGUUCGAGCCGGGCUGGCCACCUACCAAGGUGGGAAGCAAGCGGAGGCUACCCCAAGUCCCAACAAAGGGGAGCGGGUAUGCUUCGUCCCCUAUCUGAAAGGGGACUCGGAUUCCCAAUACAUCCGUUUCUCCGCGGGCUCCUGGAGUUCUACGGACUCCAGCUCCAUCACCUCACGCCCGCCUCUAUCCUGCAUAUCGCGGGCUACGUAGCUCUUUGCGAGCUUUUCCUGGGCAUCGAGCCCCAUUUUGCACUGUGGAAGAGGCUGUUCUGCCUCGUACCCCGUUCUUACGAGGGAUCCAUAUAUUAAGUAGGCGGCGCCGAAAUAUGGCGCAUUGCCGGGAUCGGAUACCCAUCCGGUACUCCUAAGAAGGCGUCCGAAGACUGGCCUUCGGAGUGGUUUUACAUAGAAGACGCUCUGCUGCUGGACCCAGUCCGGAUUGGCCUCCCGUAGUUUAAUGCUGCUCCUCUGAAGAAACGCCUUAGCUGGCGCCCAUGGAGCCCCCGAUUGGAGGAAAACAAGAGCGUCCAUUACUUGAUGGGCCGAAUAAGAUUACUAGCCCAUUCUGGGUUGACCAUGAUCGGAGUCAUGGCGACAUGCAUCAUGCGGGGGGUACAACCACUGCAAUACAGAGGCCACCCCAUGUGGGAUUUCAACGGGGAAGACGAUGCCACCCGUCACGACCGCGAAGGGCCAGAUUCGACCGAGGAUCUGGUGCAGAUCCUGUCCAGUCUGUACAAGGGGGAGAAGGAGGACUUCCUUCGAACGAACCCUUUGAAUGGGUUUUCCAUGAACAACCCUAGAGGCUGGGUAAGCAAACACUUUUAAGGGCUCACCCCAUGCUUUCGAAGUUUAGGCUUCUUACAUUAUGUCUUCGGCGCAGGAUCUACGCCGGCUAUGGAGGACAUGGUAAGUCCCGCUCCGCAACCCGAGGAUCCAGAAAGAUCCCUGGAUCCGGCCUCCGAAGAGGAUCCGGACAUCAAGGUGGAGCUGAUCGACGGGGUGUUUCACCAGCUCAGCAUGGACAAUGCUUUGGUCGCCAUUACAGCGGACUACCCCGGACUGUAUCCGGCUUCCCAGGUGACUGUGACCAAGGUCCGGACACCAUUAUCUCUUCCUUGACCAUUCCUGACCUUCGCGAACGAUGGUGUUUUACAGGAAGCGCCUUCAAGGCGGGAAGCCGAGCCCGCGGCGGCUGACCAACAAAGGUCAGUCCAGUCCAGCAGGCGGAAAAGGAGCGCGGCGCGGACUGAAACGUCGCCGCAAAGGUAUAGCUCGUGUUUAAAUUUUUCAGAGCAACGCUCCUAGGAAGCGUCUGAGUGCUCAUGAUCUUUGUAGGAGAAAAAGCGCCCGCCGGACUGCGGGCGUAGAGGUUGCCGAUCCGACCUAUACCAGCCAGGCUCCAGCGCCCGGCCUGGAGGGGAAGGCAAGCGCAAGGCGCAGGCCGGAUACUCCUCCAACGGAGGAUGCCGACAGACUGUCCGCCACCAAGUCUAAGGUGGAGAGCGCCAUGAACCACAGGCGCCGCCGGACAGUAUUUCGUGAAGCGUGCUUCUCCCCUGAGGCAUUGGACGCCUUUAACGCGGGGGACGUGCACCUCCGUGCUGCUCAAGACGGUUUUACCCGAGCCACGGAGCAGUAUGUGAAAGACAUACGGGUAAGGGAAUUUAAUGGUUAUAUAUGCCAGUAGCCCCCGAGACUUAAAGUAGUUAUGUUAACUGAUUUUAGGAUCAUUUGAAAUGCAGGCUCUUACUGAGAAGAAUGCCCAGCUGUCUCAGGAGCUACAAGAAUGCAAGGCCCAACUUGAGGCCGCACUUGCUACCGCAGGAGGAAACUCAGAGACCCCUCCUGGUAACACAUUUUCAUUAAUAAGUAUAAGCGCUAUGCGGCAUGCGCGCAAGUCUAAUAACGACUGUGCAGGUGCCGCCGGACAAGAUCCGGACAGGCAAGGAUUACUGCGCCAGCUGAAGGCCGGCGAGAGUGUGCUGAAUAGGGUGCAGCAAGAAAGGAACAAACUCCAGGAUGCCAACGCCAAGCUCGGAGAAGAGCUGAAAGGCGCUCGCACCGGUCUGUCCGGCUCCGUUAAGGAGAAUGAGCGGCUUCGUCGCGGCAUUUAUAGUAAGUGCUUGAGCGGACUCCUUUGAAAAGAAGAGUUCGGCGAGGAAGUAUAUUGACAUGAUAUGUCUUGUAGGUAUACUCACAGGUCGCCCUGCAGAGGAGAUGCCCAUAUCAACGGGUGAUCAACUUCCCGAGCUAUUGCAACUGUUCGAACGAGUUCGACAGGCAAUGAGCGACGUCGUCCAGGCUUUAUGGCCAGCCCUCUCCCUACCCGAGGGCAUUGGGGAGCUUGCGGAGAAGCUUCAGGGAGUGCGGCAUCGCUUCUGUUUGUGGAAGAUUUCGGCUUGCCGUCAAGGUGCCAGGGAGGCUUGGGCCAUGGUGAAGACGCGUUACAAGAAGGCGGAUCCCAACCACAUGGCCAAAGUUGGACCGGUGGGGCCCGAUGGGAAGGAGAUCCCUGUGAGUUUAGUAUACAGCCAGGUAGAGUUGGCUGCUAAAUUUUCCCAACGGGACUGUAAGUUAGACAGCCUGUUAGACGGGAUUGAGGAGGAAUACAAUCAGUAAAUUUGACAAUGUAUUUUAAAAUGACAUGUGAAAUGCCUUCUAGCCGGAUUGUAGAUUGUUUGUCUUUGCCGACCUUUUCGCUUUGACCUCGGGACCCUAGAGUCCGGAGUGUGUCCGAAUACCUUCUUGGUUAAGAAACAACCGGGGUAUGCAUGGAGACCAGGCAUAGGGGUCAUUAGUGCUUUAUCAAACAAGUGCCCAACUAGUUAUGUUAUAUUACAUGGUUAGUAAGAAACAUCUUCCAGGGAGAAUAGUUCCGUUAAGGGUUCCUUUCCCUGGGAGGCAUGCCCUAAAGUGCAUGUCCGGACUGCGAAAAUAGCAGGAAAACAUCUGGGGGCAGAUAAAUAAAUAGGUAGAAAAUCAUAUUUUAAAUCACCGACCGAAUAUUCCCUUAAGAACGCUAGCUUUCGGCUUCACCCAGUCUGAGGUACACAUCCGGCUGACCCGGCAGUAACAAUCGCAGAGGUGCUCCCUUUACCUCCUAGCCGAACAAUCGAGAACGUAGGGGUAAGCACAGGAGCCAGGCAACCCAUCUUGGCCAAAACUUAAGUCAUAUCGAUGCAUAUAAUGGUGAGUAAAAGGUCCAUGUGGAAGCUUGACACAUGUGCUGGGCAUGAAGCCCUUAUAAUUGAGCUUCUGGAAAAGAAGCCCCUAGGUAUAAUGAGUGCGGAUGGCACAUCAAGUGUAUGCGAACAAUGCGACGAUAGGCCCUUAGGGGCUUUUUAGCAAAAAGGUUAGGAGAAGAAAGAGAAACAAAAGACAGCCGAAGUGUAAAAAUUUGAACGAAGGAAGGGGACGAACUCUUAGUCCGGCGCUAGGCAUAGAAUCUUCGGAGGCGGGCUGCGUUCCAUGGAUUCGGCUCGAGUCGGUUAUCCGACGCAUUUUGUAGACGGUACGCUCCGCCGGUCAGGACUUGAUCGAUAAUGAAGGGCCCCUCCCAUUUGGGUUUGAGCUUGUCCUUUUUCUUGUCCGGUAGGCGUAGAACUAGUUCGCCAACGUUGUAAGUCUUGGCCCGUACUUCUCUGCUUUGAUAUCUUCGGGCCUGCUGCUGAUAGAAUGCGGAACGAGCCUUGGCGACGUCGCGUUCUUCCUCCAAUGUGUCCAAGCUGUCCUGCCGAUCCAGCUCGGCCUCUCUUUCUUCGUACAUGCGCACUCGAGGUGAGUCAUGAAUAAUGUCGCAGGGCAGGACUGCCUCUGCGCCGUAGACCAUAAAAAAUGGUGUGAAUCCGGUAGUGCGGUUAGGCGUUGUCCGCAGCCCCCAGAGUACGGAGUCGAUCUCCUCGACCCAGUGCGUGUCAGAUUUAGUAAGUGACCGCACUAGUCUGGGUUUAAUGCCGCUCAUUAUUAGACCAUUUGCUCGUUCCACUUGACCGUUGGUUUGAGGGUGAUAGACUGAAGCGUAGUCGAGCUUGAUGCCCAUAUUUUUGCACCAUGACUUAACCUCGUCGGCUGUGAAGUUCGUGCCGUUGUCGGUGAUGAUGCUGUGGGGGACUCCAUAACGGUGUACUACCCCGGAUAUGAAGUCUAUCACUGGUCCGGACUCUGCCGUUUUGACCGGUUUGGCCUCUAUCCAUUUGGUGAAUUUAUCCACCAUGACCAAUAGGUACCUUUGCUAGUGGGUUCCCCCUUUAAGGGGUCCAACCAUAUCAAGCCCCCAGACCGCGAAUGGCCAGGUAAUGGGUAUAGUUUUGAGGGCGGUGGGCGGCAUAUGGCUCUGAUUAGCAAAGAGCUGACAACCAACGCAUCUCUGGACUAAGUCCUGGGCAUCUGCCCGGGCCGUCGGCCAAUAAAAUCCUGUACGGAAUGCCUUUCCUACAAGGGCCCGGGCUGCUGCGUGGUGUCCGCCUAAUCCGGCAUGAAUUUCAGCCAGGAGGUUUCGCCCUUCCUCUUCGGAGAUACACCUUUGAAGGACUCCGGUUGUACUUUUCUUAUAAAGUUCUCCCUCAUGGACCUUGUAGGCUUUCGAUCGCCGGACUAUGCAGCGGGCCUCGUUUUGGUCUUCGGGAAGUUCCUGCCUAAGCAAGUAGGCUAGGAAUGGUUCUGUCCACGGGGCGAUUACUGCCAUUAUGUCGUGGGCUGAAGGUGUUAUGUCAUCGGCUGAAUCGUCGGUUGGCGCGGUUUUUUCCGGUUUGUCACUUCCGGGCUCCCCUUCCCAUAGUACGGAUGGCUUGAAGAGCCAUUCCAGGAAGAUAUUUGGAGGGACAGCAUCACGUUUCGCACCGAUGCGUGCCUGUACGUCAGCCGCUUGGUUAUUAUCUCGGGCUAUGUGAUGGAAUUCGAGUCCUUCAAACCGAGCUGACAUUUUUAGGACAACGUUGCGAUAUGCUGCCAUUUUCGGAUCCUUGGCGUCAAAGUCUCCAUUUAUUUGGGAUAUUGCAAGGUUUGAAUCCCCGCGCACCUCUAGGCGUUGAAUGCCCAUGGAGACUGCCAUCCGGAGACCAUGUAACAGGGCCUCGUAUUCGGCUGCGUUGUUGGAGUCCGUGUACAUUAUUUGAAGUACAUACUGGACUAUGUCCCCGGUUGGGGACGUCAAUACGACGCCAGCCCCCAGUCCGGCCAACAUUUUAGAGCCGUCGAAAUGCAUAAUCCAAUUGGAGUAUGCGCCGUACUCUUUAGGGAGUUCGGCCUCGGUCCAUUCAGCGACAAAGUCAGCCAAAACUUGUGACUUUCGCUGAGGUUUGUAAGUUAUAUCGAAUGAUAAGAGCUCAAUGGCCCAUUUUGCAAUCCUGCCCGUUGCGUCACGGUUAUUUAUGAUGUCAUUGAGUGGUACUUCGGAGGCCACUGUUAUCGAACACUCUUGAAAGUAGUGUCGGAGCUUCCGGGAUGCCAUGAACACCGCAUACGCUAUCUUCUGAUAGUGUGGGUAACGGGACUUGCAGGGGGUUAACACAGUGGAAACAUAAUACACUGGUUUUUGGAGAGGGAAUUUAUGCCCUUCUGUCUCUCGUUCGACGACGAGUAUCGCACUUACAACUUGAUGCGUUGCUGCGAUGUAUAACAACAUUGGUUCGCCCAGAUUGGGCGCAGCCAGGACCGGAUUUGUUUCCAGUAUGGCCUUUAUUUCUUCGAGUCUGGCAGUGGCAGCAUCCGUCCACUCGAAGUGUUCGGUGCGCCUGAGGAGGCGAUAGAGAGGCAGUGCCUUUUCUCCUAGACGGGAGAUAAAGUGGCUUAAAGCUGCCACGCAUCCUGUUAACUUUUGUAUCUGCUUGAGGUCUUUUGGGAUAUCCAACUGUGUCAGAGCUCGGAUUUUUGCCGGGUUUGCUUCAAUUCCUCUACCGGAUACAAUGAAGCCCAGCAGCUUUCCGGCUGGUAUGCUGAAAACGCAUUUUUCCGGAUUCAGCGUGAUGUCGUAUGCUCUGAGGUUGUCGAAUGUGAGCCUCAAAUCGUCUACUAGAGUUUCGACGUGUUUUGUUUUGACGACUACGUCGUCUAUGUAUGCUUCGACUGUUUUGCCGAUCUGGGUAGCCAGACAUGUUUGAAUCAUGCGCUGAUAUGUUGCGCCGGCAUUUUUAAGUCCGAAGGGCAUCGUGUUGAAGCAGAAUGGUCCGUAUGGAGUGAUGAAUGCCGUUGCGGCUUGGUCUGCUUCCGCCAUCUUGAUUUGAUGGUAGCCAGAGUAUGCGUCGAGGAAGCACAAUGAAUUGUGUCCUGCGGUAGCAUCAAUAAUUUGAUCGAUGCGGGGGAGGGGGAAGGGGUCCUUUGGGCAAGCCUUAUUAAGGUCUUUAAAAUCGACGCAUAGGCGCCAGGAUUUGUCCUUCUUUGGUACCAUUACCAGAUUUGCUAGCCAAUCCGGAUGUUUGAUAUCUCUGAUGAAUCCGGCUUCCAGUAGUUUGGCUAGCUCUUCUCCCAUUGCCUGUCUUUUGGGUUCGGAAAAUCGCCGAAGAGCCUGUUUGACUGGCUUAAAUCCUUUUAGGAUGUUUAGGCUGUGUUCUGGCAACAUGCGUGGGAUUCCGGGCAUAUCCGAAGGAUGCCAGGCAAAAAUAUCCCAAUUUUCCUGAAGGAAUUCGCGCAGUGCGGCGUCUACUUCGGGGUUCAAUUGUGCCCCAAUGGAGGCCGUAUUUGUUGGGUCCGUUGGAUGGACCUGGAAUUUUAUUAUUUCAUCUGCUGGUUUGAAGGAGGUGGACUUGGAUCUUUUAUCGAGUAUCACAUCGUCCCUGUUCACCGUAGAGCGCAGCGCAGUGAGUUUUUCUGCCGCUAGGGCUUCGGAUAGUGCCUCCAGGGCUAGUGCGGCUGUCUUGUUUUCGGCGCAGAGCGCUAUGUCUGGAUCACUAGCGAGAGUGAUUAUUCCGCCGGGCCCAGGCAUUUUGAGCUUCAUAUACCCGUAAUGCGGUACGGCUUGAAAAAUUGUGAAUGCCUCUCGUCCUAAUAUAGCGUGAUAUCCGCUGUUGAACGGGGCCACCUGGAACGUGACUUCUUCGGAUCUGUAAUUGUCCGGUGAGCCGAACACCACAUCGAGUGUGAUUUUUCCGGUGCAGCGCGCUUCCCGGCUAGGGAUUAUUCCUCUGAAGGUUGUGCUGCUUCGCUCAAUACGGCUCCAGUCGAUUUCCAUUUUUUGAAGAGUUUCCUCGUAGAUGAGGUUUAGUCCACUGCCGCCAUCCAUGAGGACCUUUGUAAGUCGAAAGCCGUCCACUAUGGGACUAAGCACCAGUGCGGCUGGUGCUCGGGCUGUUCGGAAUUUAGGUUCAUCGCUGGCGUUGAAGGUGAUGGCUGUGUCGCUCCAUGGAUUUGCUGUUGCUACUUGGUAGACUUCGGCGAGGCCGCGGAUUGUUCGUUUUCGCAUAUUAUUUGAUGCGAAGGUCUCGAAGACUGUUGAUACCGUACCAGUAUUGUUGGAGUGGUUUUCCGGGGCUAGAAGCUCCUCGCCACUUUUGGCCACCUGCCGUAGUAUCCAACAUGCUCGAAGGCUAUGUGUUGGGACGGCUCCCUCUGUACUAUGAAGCUUACAGGGUCCAUUGAGCCAUCCCUCCAGUACGGUUCCGUGCCCUUUAUGGGGUUUGUGCUUUUUGGUUUUUGUAUCUGGGGCCUGAGUGUGAUGCACCCUUUUGUUGCGGACUGGGGUUGUAUUCGGGGCCGGAUUGUCCCAAAACUGGUCUUCGGUUUUCCGGAAACUCUCCAUCGCGCAGUACUUUCGUACUAUGGACGCCAGAUCGGUGAAGCGUAUAAUUUUACGACGACCGAUGGCGUUCAAUAUUCCCUUGUCCGUGCAAUUAUUGCAAAAGAUUGAGAUUGCGUUCUCCUCUCGGCAGUCCUUUAUCCUGUCCAUAACCAGGAGGAAUCUGGCCCAGUAGGGGUGCACUGUUUCAGCGGGCUCUUGCCGUAUUAGAGAUAGAUCGCAUAUGUCUGGGCGGGUGGGUGGAAUAAAAUCCGGAUCCCUACCCAUCUUGAGGCUUAAAGGCCGAGGAGUUUUCGAAUUCGGAAUCUUGGAUUGCUGGACAUGAUCCAGCGGGUCCGGAAUGAUGCAUGAUUUUAAGUUCAAUGCUCGAUCGAAGUCCGUCCCUCCGUGGAAAUCCGGCAUGGAGGGUUCGAGAAUCCGGAUGUGACUAGUUUUCAAUAUAGGCGACAAGUCGCCGCAUUGCUCCUCAACCACUGCGACGCGGUGGGUGGCCUGGGGAGAGUUAAUCUCUCUCAGAUCGGUUUUAAGCCCAAUCUGAUUGUAGUCUGUAGCGACUCCUAGGGCGGCGAUGCGAUCCAAGAGCUCGUUGACAGACGAGAGCUCUAUUGGAUCCAGCCGCUCGGCGAAUUCCGAGCUGACGCGGAGAUUGCUUUCGACGACUUGGGAAGUCAUUGUCGAAGCCGUGGCCGGACAAGCGGUCAUAAGAAAACCGCCUAGCCGGAUAGUUUGGCCGGCGGCCAAGGCCCCUUUGGCGAAAAUACCGUCUUUGAAGACGGGUGGAGGCAUCCUUCCUAUCGGUGACGACACAGAGGAACUCUCAAUGAAAGCACCAAUGUCGGUGUCAAAACCGGCGGAUCUCGGGUAGGGGGUCCCGAACUGUGCGUCUAGGCGGAUGGUAACAGGAGACAAGGGACGCGAUGUUUUACCCAGGUUCGGGCCCUCUCGAUGGAGGUAAAACCCUACGUCCUGCUUGAUUAAUAUUGAUGAUAUGGGUAGUACAAGAGUGGAUCUACCACGAGAUCAAGGAGGCUAAACCCUAAAGGUAGCCUAUGGUAUGAUUGUUGUAAUGUAUGUUGUGUCCUACGGACUACAGCCCUCCGGUUUAUAUAGACACCGGAGAAGGCUAGGGUUACACAGAGUCGGUUACAAUGGUACGAGAUCUACAUAUCCGUAUCGCCAAGCUUGCCUUCCACGCCAAGGAAAGUCCCAUCCGGACACCAGACGGAGUCUUCAAUCUUGCAUCUUCGUAGUCUUGGAGUCCGGCGGACGAUGAUAGUCCGGCUGUCCGGACACCCCCUAGUCCAGGACUCCCUCAAUGGCUCGUACUGGAAGCCUGAGCAGUACCCUAAAACGACAUGGGUUGCUUCAAAGGAACCUUCAGUAGAUCCAUCCACUUUAUCUGGCUUUACCUGUGCUAAUCCUAUUAUCAUUGAUGAAUCCUUUGAUGCAAACUAUAAGCUGUUUAAAAAUCAGAAUGGUGAAGUGUUUGCCAGGUACAUUGGUACUAACUGCAGGAAUGGACCACCUAUGAAGAAGAUCGGGGUACCUAAGCGGUACAUUGAGAAUCUUCCUGUGAAUGUCAUCAUGACACCACCAAGGAAGAAGACAAACCCCAGACCUAUAGCUUCAUGUGGCCCAAAGGCUUCAUACAGAUACAGGACUCACAUGAGUCACCCUAACGCCAAUGUUUUGCAGGGAAAUCAUGCUCAGACUUAUGAAUAUGAGCGUGUAUCUUCAAACCGCUAUGUUCAUAGGACCAAGAACUUUUCUGCUUAUUCAUAUGAGUAUCAUUCAUCUCCUGCAAGGCUAUUUGCUAGGGCUUCAAAGCCAAAAUUCUCAGAUGCUGCACUUAGACUCAUUGCUUCUAAGCCCCCACUGAAGAUGUGGGUGGCAAAGAAGAACUAACUCUCUUUUGCAGAAAACGGUCUCCAGCCAGCAAUCAAUGGCGUCCGAUACUAUUGCUGGGGACCUAAAAUUCACUAAGGACGCACGAUAAAAUGUCAUUCUAUAUACUUCAUCUGAAUCUCUUAUCAGUCAUACUAUGUCCUAACCUUGAUAUAAGCUGUGACUGUCCCUAUAUGUGUCAAAUGCUUAUGCUUCACAACACCCUUGUGAAGCCUAUCCUCCUAAAUGCACUGUAGGGUACAUCACCAAAAGCUUCAGAAUGGAUUAUGGACAGUGGAUGCACAAAUCAUAUGACUAGUGAUCGAAGUCUUCUCAUGGACUCAACUUUACGUCCAUCCGACAAGAGUCACAUCACAUUUGCUGACACUGGUAAAAGCAAAGUAUUGGGACUAGGUAGAGUUGCAAUCUCAAAGGAUCAACACAUGGAUAAAGUGAUGCUUGUUGAAUCCCUUGGUUUCAACUUAAUGUCUAUCUCAAUGCUUUGUGACUUGAACAUGAUUGUGAUAUUUGACAAAUAACGUUGCCUUGUACUAAUGGAAUCGGACAAAUCUCUAGUCUUUGAAGGGUAUCGAAAAGAUGAUCUAUACAUGGUAGAUUUCUCAGCAGGUCCACAGCUUGCCGUUUGUCUUCUCACAAAAGCUUCAGAAUGCUGGCUCUGGCAUCGAAGGCUGGGACAUGCUGGCAUGAGGAACUUACACUCACUCGUCAAGAAGAAGCAUGUCAUAGGCAUCGAAGAUGUCAAGUUCAAGAAGGAUCAUCUGUGUGGUGCCUGUGAAGCUGGAAAGAUGACAAGGGCAAAGCACCCCUCGAAGACAAUCAUGACAACAUCUCAACCCUUCGAGCUGUUACACAUGGACUUAUUUGGACCUACGCACUACUCCACCCUCACAACAACUGCCUGUCUCUAUGGCUUCGUCAUUGUUGAUGACUACUCAAGAUACACAUGGGUUCAUAUAAUUCUGUACAAGACUGAAGUGCAAGAUGUCUUCAGGCGCUUUGCAAAUCGAGCAAUGAACAAUUAUGGCAUGAAGAUCAAGCACAUCAGAAGUGACAAUGGCACUGAAUUCAAGAACACUGGACUUGAUCUGUAUCUGGAUACAAUGGGAAUCACUCAUGAGUUCUCUGCUCCGUACACACCUCAGCAAAACGGCAUUGUUGAGCGCAAAAACAGAACCCUCAUUGAGAUGGCUCGAACGAUGCUAGAUGAGUACAAGACACCAAGAAAGUUCUGGCCUGAAGCUAUUGAUACAGCAUGUCACAUCAUCAUCCGUGUAUACAUUCAUAAGCUUCCGAACAAAACAUCAUAUGAGCUACUCACUGGCAAGAAGCCAAAUGUUAGUUACUUCAGAGUAUUUGGAGCUAGAUGCUGGAUAAAGGAUCCCCAUCACAAGUCAAAAUUUGCACCUAAGGCUCACGAAGGCUUCAUGCUUGGCUAUGGAAAGGAUUCACACUCCUACAGAGUCUUCAACCUUUAUCUAUACAAAAUCGUUGAAACUGUGGAUGUGAAAUUUGAUGAAACUAAUGGUUCACAGAGAGAGAUUCUGCCAAGUACACUAGAUGAAGCUCCUUCAAACAAGGCAAUCAAGCUGAUGGGAACUGGUGAAAUCAUGCCCUCUGAAGCACAGCCUGAAGAGGAACUUAUCAUCUCUGCACCAAAUCAACCUGAAGGCAAUGCUCAGACCAAAGACAAUCCUCCCAAUGAUGACAAUGAUCAGACGGAGCAAAAUCUUCGUCCUGUUCAUCCUCGUGUUGCAAAUGAAGUCCAAAUAGAGAAGAUUAUCGACAGCAUCAAUGCACCUGGUCCGCUCACUCGAUCAAGAGCAACACAGCUAGCAAACUUCUGUGGGCACUUUUCAUUUGUGUCAAUAUCAAAACCCAAGAAAGUUGCUGAAGCUUUUAUGGAACCUGAAUGGAUUCAAGCAAUGCAAGAAGAACUUCAACAGUUCAAGCUGAAUAAUGUUUGGGAACUUGUCAAGCGACCGGAUCCUCGCAAGCAUAAUAUUAUUGGAACAAAAUGGAUAUAUCGAAACAAGCAAGAUGAGCAUGGUCAAGUCAUCAGAAACAAAGCUCGUCUUGUGGCUCAAGGUUACACUCAAGUUGAAGGAAUUGACUUCGAUGAAACAUUUGCUCCUGUAGCUAGGCUUGAAGCUAUUCGAAUACUACUAGCCUACGCAAAUCAUCACAAUAUCUUGCUAUAUCAAAUGGAUGUAAAGAGUGCAUUUCUCAAUGGCAAGAUUGAAGAAGAAGUAUAUGUCGCACAACCACCUGGCUUUGAAGAUCCAAAACAUCCUGAUAUGGUGUACAAGCUAAACAAGGCACUGUAUGGCCUCAAACAAGCCCCUCAUGCCUGGUAUGAUACAAUCAAAGACUUCCUGAAGAGCAAAGGCUUCAAACCUAGAUCCAUCGAUCCCACUCUCUUCACGAAGACAUAUGAUGGUGAACUAUUUGUGUGCCAAAUAUAUGUGGAUGACAUAAUCUUCGGAUGCACCAACCAGAAGUAUAGUGAUGAGUUUGGGUACAUGAUGCAAGAGCAAUAUCAAAUGUCCAUGAUGGGUGAGCUGAAGUUCUUCCUUGGUCUUCAAAUUCGUCAGUAGAGGAAUGGCAUCUUUAUAUCUCAAGAGAAAUACCUCAAAGAUUGUCUGAAGAAGUUUGGAAUGGAAGACUGCAAAGGCUACACGACGCCAAUGCCAGCCAAACACCAUCUUGGUCCCGACGACAAUGGUAAAGAGUUCGAUCAAAAGGUAUAUCGCUCCAUGAUUGGUUCUUUGCUUUAUUUAUGUGCAUCUAGGCCAGAUAUUAUGCUUAGUGUUUGCAUGUGUGCUCGAUUCCAAACGGCACCAAAGGAAUCGCAUCACUUAGCUGUGAAGCGAAUUCUUCGAUAUUUGGCUUACACCCCAACACUCGGAUUAUGGUAUCCCAAGGGCUCAAGAUUCGAUUUGGUUGGAUUCUCGGAUGCUGAUUAUGCUAGUGACAAGGUGGAUCACAAGUCUACAUCUGGCACAUGUCAUUUUCUUGGUCGAUCACUUGUCUGUUGGUCUUCGAAGAAGCAGAACUAUGUAUCACUCUCAACUGCUGAAGCUGAAUACAUUGCUGCUGGAUCCUGUUGUGCUCAGCUUCUAUGGAUGAAGCAAACUCUCAAGGAUUAUGGCAUCAAUCUGAAGCUAGUACCUCUCUUCUGAGACAAUGAAAGUGCCAUCAAAAUUGCCAACAAUCUAGUCCAACACUCGAAGACAAAGCACAUUGAAAUUCGUCAUCACUUCCUCAGAGAUCAUGUUAUGAAGAAAGAUAUCGAUAUCAUUCACGUCAACACUGAAGAGCAACUGGCAGAUAUCUUCACAAAGCCCUUGGAUGAGAAAAGAUUUUGCAAGUUACGGUGUGAGCUAAAUAUCUUGGAAUCCUCUAAUGUCCUGUGAUCAGGCACACAUCCUAACACUUAUGCAUGUUGAUGACUUAGAUGUGCAACACACAAAGUAAGGUAUAUCUUCAAUCUAUGAAGAUUUACAUUCUGAGUGUGAAUACAUUAACAUGGAAUUUGACUUCGGAACACCACGAUAAUUGUGCGCCGUGUCUGGGUCUAAUACUUCCUAUACGGUGGGUAACGCCACCACCAACUUUUUGUUUGAAGUGUUUCACUCAAGGCGUUAUAUUGCAAAGACUUCGCAUUUGGUUUGUCUUCAGUUUCAAUUUGUCUUCAUGACCUUCUGCACUAUGAUGAUUUGAUUGCUUUCUGAUAUAUAUAUAUAUAUAUAUAUAUAUAUAUAUAUAUAUAUACUAGUGUUCUGUCCUCUACAGCAUUCACUUAUAGCUAUGUCUUCAAGAUUGGAUCUUUUGAACUAAGUGAAUGUGAUCGGACCCUAACCUCUCUAUGCUUCCUAUCUCAAACUCUAUCUGUCCAAAUCAUAUGCAUUCUAUUGAAACUGUCAAAUGUCUUCUCCACAUCCUAGUCAGCAGAAGGCAAAGAGACAAACAUUAAAUCUAUUUUAAAUGACUUAUCUUUAAUGUUGAAAUUCGGAGAAGCUGGAACAACUCUCCGACAUGCCUGGCGGGCGAGGGAACGUGGGACAGCUCUAAGUAUGUUGCAUGCUUGCCAUGUGCCCCUCAGAUGUGAACCGCCAGGGGCACCAGCGUAACUGCGCUGUGUCUCUCACCUACUUAUAAAUACUUGUCCCCUGCGGUAAAGAAAUCUUUCUCCCACCUCUCCACCUCCGUCAAAACCCUAGCGCCACCGCUAGCUCGCGACGACGCCGGCGACAAAGCGCUUAGCUGCCGCGACUUCUCCGACGCCGUCCUCACGCCGGCCGCAGACAUCGUCCUCUCCGCCGUCGCCGUAGGUGUCCUCCGUCGCCAAGUUAGGGCACGGUGGGCUAAACUACUCGGUCUCCUAUUCUUCCAUCUAGCAAUUCUUCGUGCGGUAAUUAUAACUCUUUUUUACCACCUUUUUGAUCUUCAAGAUUCAUCCUGUUUACCGAAAGUAGUUUCUGUUUAUUCAAAGCUAGAUCUAUUCCGUCUGCAUCUCAUACUGCUUAGUCGAUUCACUUAGAUUUCUUGUCUAGUUUGAUUCCUCACUUGUACUUAUUCACGGAUUGGUACAAAUCUAGAACCAACUCACCUAUAUAAGUGAAUGUCUUCGCAUCAUGAGGUCAAUGUCUUCAAAUUGAUUUAUCUUCAAAAUCUUCUGAGAAUGCAUAUGACCUCUUCCCCUUCCCUCGCAUCUCUAAUGCUGUCACAGGUACAUGUCCGUGGGAGAAUCCCUUGGUUCUCAUAGUCUGCAUUCGUUUGCAGAAUACUUACAGCAUCAUAUAAAUUCUCCUGAAGCCAGUUCCUGCUUGACCAGCAAGCGUAAAUCUUUGAAGCCUUUGAACGUAUUGAAGCCAUUCAGCUUGAAGUUCAUGGCUACAGAGAAAUCAGCAAGGAAGGGUGGCAGACAGCGCAGAGAAGGAACAUCUAAAGAUCUGCCUGAUGACUUAGCAGAGAUGUACAAGACAGAUCCUGAAGAGAACUAUCAUCAGAGAAAGACGCGAAUCCAAUGGAUUCGACGCUAUUGGGCUGAGGAGUGGUUCAAGUACAAGUUUGUAACGAAGGAAUAUGCAGAGAAGCAUGCCAUCAAGAGACCUUGGGGUGAUAUCCUCUAUCGAGGCCUUCAACCCAAGAGCCGAGCUGAAGCCAUUGAACAAGGCUUCUAUCCAUGCAUGGUCCGUGGGCCACAUCCAGUGAACGCAGAUCCCAGCUCACUACUAUGGUGUCGUGACGACCCUCUCUUCAAGCGCAACUAUCAGUUUGCUGUGGCUUCGGCCAAGAAGAACAAGAAGUCCUUGGGUUUGGACUUCAACCCAGGUCCCUCUGCUCCCCGUGCUGAUGGCUCCCGUGAAGCUAAUCCCAAUGUCAUCGGCCCCUACGCCAACCUUGACGGCCUCAUCACCUACAUCAUGGUCCAAGGCGCCAGAGUAGAUCAUUCUGACAAUGGUGCUGACUCCGAUGAAGCCCCUGCUCCUCCUCCAAAGCCACAGAAGCAAAAGAAGUCAAAGGCUUCAACCUUAGCUGCACCUCCAAAGACUUCACGUGCGAAGCCACUGGCCACUGUACCUCCUGAAGCUAGUGUGCAAUCUGAAGAUCUGUCCCGUGUCUCCAAGAGAACGGACAAGAAGAAGCAACUUGUCAGGCCAUCUGAUCAAAGAGCCUUGACUCCUGCCGCCAUUCUGCGUGAAGAACCUAUUGAUCUAUCAAGCGAUGAAGAUCUUGCUGAUGAUGCUCUUGAGCAGCUGAUAAAGAGCAAGGAAGAAGCAGAAAUCUUCAGCAACUUACCUCUCUUUGAUGUGGCCAUCAUCCACAAUUUCAUUGAUGAGUGGUUCGACACACCCAACGUCAGCUUUGAAGAUUUACAGCUCCCCAUUGGCCUCAGUGUCGCCUUCAAUGGCGCCAUUGCUUCUGAGCUAGCUCUCGCUCAACGCAUCAUCGAGCUCAAAAACAAGAUUGACUUUGAGAAGGCUCAAUUCAAGAAGCAUGUGGCCAAGCUAAGUGUUCAAGACGUUAGAAACUUCAAGGUCAUGCUGAAUGAGCUUAAAGAAGCUUUUCUGAAGAAACGCCAAGAAGCUCAGGGCUCUCGAGAACGCAUGAAGCUUUUGGCUGAUAAGUGUGUGCUUGCCUACAAUGAGGCUGAGAAGCGCAAGUCCCUUGGCCAUCCUGGCAUUGACCCCAGGAUGGCUGCAAAGAAGAAGAACAAGCGCCCUGCUGAUCAGCCUGAACCUUCAAGCCAAGAAGCCCCUCGCAUUAUCUUCCCAAGCAGCAUGACUGGCUCGAAGCCAAAGGUCACCACAACCGCUUCAGAACAAAAGAAGACGAGGGCUGCCGAGGCUGAAGCCAGAAAAAGAAAGAACACUGAAGCCUCUGAUGCCGCUCCCCUCAAGAAGAAGCGUAAGACCAAGAAGACUAGGGCUGCUUCCACAGAGCCCUUAGUCGUUGAACCCAUUUCCGUGGUCCGCCCUGUGUCAGUACAUCAAGAACAAAGAAUGGUUGUUCAUGAGCCUGCUACCACAGAGGCUCAUGAAGCUGAAGAUAUUCUAGCAGCUGAACCCAAUGCUGCUGAAGACAUUGGUCAUGAUGACAAUGUAGCUGAUUAUGAAGUUCUUCCUCAGAUCGAAAAUGAAGUGGUAUCAUUGCCUGUUCAUACGAAUAGCGAACUCAUCAGCAUUGGUCGUCCUUUGACGCCAAUUGCUCAGGAUGCAUCGUGAGAUGAUCACCCACAACAACACCAAGACUCCCCCAGUACUCCCCAACAACAACAACAACAAGCUCCACCCCCAGUGCAAGAAGAGGAUGAAGACUUUCAGGCUCAGCCAACUCCAUCUCCUAAGGUGAAGCCAGCUCUUCGCAGGCUUCGCAGAGGACAAAGGCUUGAAGUCCCUCUGUUGAGCGUUCCAGAAGGAGAAGUGCAACGUUCACCUGUUGCACGGCAAGUAUUUUCUGAACCAGCUCCAACAGUGAAUGUCUCCGAGUCUGAAGCACAUGCUGCUGAAGACAUUCCGUCUACAUCAGCCGAAGAAAUUGAAGAAGAAGUACGUGUACCUACACCCCCAGCUAUUGAAGAAGAAGCAGUUCAUGAUCUGAACGUGCCUGUGCCCGACCCUCCUGUACAUCAAGAGGAGGUUGAAAAUGUUGAGGCUGCCACCACCAACGCCAAUACAGUCAGUGACGUAGUCAUGGCUGAUGCUAAUGUGGAGCCUGCACCAACCAGUGAACCUGAAACCAAUGAGGAUGCUGCACCUGAAGUCAAUGCGGAUGCUGCACCUGAAGCCAAUGUGACAACUGCUCCCGAAGCACCUAUCGUGCAGCCUGCCUCCAAUAUUUCCCCUGCUCCUGUUUUGCCACCUAGGCCUCACACAAUUGAGCAAGCAUACAGUCAUGGUCAGCUUACUACUGUCUGAUGGCCUGUUCUGGUGCCUCCGCCUUCUGCCUCAGGACCCCAAUUUGACUAUCAUGUUGAGCAUCGGCCUCAAGUGCAGAAGCCAAAGCCCAGGUUGCCAAGGUUUCCAGGUACUGCCAACUCCCCCGGGUCCUUCAAUGCUAAUGGCUUCAAAAGCCACAAUACCUUCUUUGACAGCGCCAAGAACCCCUACUCCAAGCCAAGGAUAGCAUCAGAUCGGUUCUAGAGCUAUCAGCAGAGAAGCUAUUACUCCUGCGUAUUAUAUGAUCAAGGGCGCAUUUUCCCUCAUAUGCGCCUUGACACUGAAGCUAUUGCUGGAUUGCCGUGCUUAGAAGAAACACUUGACUGCUUUCGUGAUGCUGGUCUGCUCCACUUUGUGACAGACAAGGAACAUUGGAAUGAAGAGCUAUUGCUUCAAUUCUAUGCCACCCCGCACAUUCGCGGCUACUACAGAGACAUCAAGACAUGGGUUCUCGAGUGGAUGACUAGCAAUGUUCAUCAUGAAGCCAAAGCUAUGGAUAUCAUCGAGCUUACUGGGCUAGCCACUCCUGGAGAACUGUAUGAGCCUAACUGUCAGCUACACCGCAAUGCUGUGGAGAGCAUCUUCCACAAGCCAGAACCCAAUAUGAGCCAGAUGCUGAGCAUGAUGAAGCCUUUGCCAUCUAACGCUGAGUAUCCCACACAUUUCUUUGUUGAAGACCUUGAGUAUCUGCCUCGAACCAUAUAUCAUAUCAUCAGGAGAACUCUAUGGCCAGUCAAGGGACACUCAUCAGCGGCCGAGCUUGAAGGAGCUAUGAAGACUUUGGUCUUCUACAUUCUCAAUGGCAUCAGCUUCAACACUCAGGAAUUCUUCAUCAGGCAACUUGCUGCUUCCGGCUCCGACCUAUUUGGUCUGAAGUUUUAUGCUCCAUGGGUCAUGCACCUCAUCAAGCGACACUCAUCUGUCAAUUAUCAGCCAUCUGCUCGCAAUCACAUAAUAUUUCUGCCAGAGGUUGAUAUGUCAGUUGAUGCUAUAUACUCUGACCCUGCCAAGACGCCACUUUGUCUUCAGAAUAUUGAGCACCAAAGCUUCACUCAGCCUAUUGAAGGUGUUCAAGCAGCGACAAGAAUCUAUCCAUGGGCUGGUAACACUCGUCUGCCUCAUAGAGCGCCCACUGAAGCCACUGAAAGCACCAUUGCGCAAAGGCCUCGCAAGCGUUCUCGCGUUCUCAAUGACCGAGAACUUCUUGUGGCCCUUCAUCAGAAACAGGACAAGCAUCAUUUCUGGCUCAAGAGACAGAUGCGAAGCCUCUUGGUGGAUGUUAAUCGCAUUCGCAACCUUGCCACCAAGAAUGCCUUUGUUGCUCAUGAAACUUGCCGGCGAUCAUGGAAGAGUUUGACCCUGCUCAGUGCUGAAGCUGAUCUUCAAGAUGAUGGCUUCAAUGAAAGAUUCCAAUUUGACUCCACUCCUCCAAGGACUGCUGUCUUACAUCGCACCCCAUCUCUUGAAGACUCUGAAUAUUAUUCUUCCGCGGCAACAGUUAAUGCCAGAGUGAUCGAUGAUGAAGACGAUGCUACUUCACCACCUCCAACUACUGCGCGCAUCGACACUGCACCAAGUACAUAUGCACCGCCAACCAACGACGACAACCCUGCUGCUUCACCUACUCAUGACGAGUAGAUGCUCUAUGUCUUCAAACCUUUUUGGUCAUUACUGACAAAAGGGGGAGAAGCGUAUGAGUUGAUAGUCUUCAAGCGGGUUCAUAUGGGCGGUUGCAUUAUAUUUUGCUACGUGCUUACAACUCUUAUGUUUUGAAACAUUUGGUUCUUUGAGUUGUAACACCUAAACUUGAUGGUCGUCUGCUACUUCUGCUACUUGUUUGCUUUACUAUGAUGCGAUGAUAAAUUCCGCAUGUGCGAUGAUAACUUCCGCACUUAGAUCAUUCUGCAGACGUCCAUUUUUCAUCAUGCAUGUCAUCUUACUUGCUAUAUCAUUUCAUGCAUGAUGAAUUAUCUUCAUAAGUUGAAGUGGAUCUCCACAAGUACAACCUGCCAUGUGCAUUUGCAAUCCAAAAGAAAAUUACUUAUAUGCACAUCUUCAGGGGGAGCCCUUGCAACUUAUGAAGACAAUUUCCUAUCCCUACAAUUUCACAUACUUUAUCCCCGUUGAAAACUUCAACCAAUUUGUCAUCAAUCACCAAAAAGGGGGAGAUUGUAAGUGCAUCUAGUGCCACCCCUAGUUGGUUUUGGAGUAUUGACGACAAAGUUGGUUGAGGGACUGAUGCGUUUGUGAGAAUUGCAGGAUAACGCAGGUAGUGUCCCUCAUUGAUUCGGUUUACCUACCGGAGAUGACCCCUAAAAAUGUAUGAAGACAUUGAAGACAAUGGUGGUAUGAGAAGAUAUUCAUAUUGAAGACUAUGACAUGAGAAGACAUUACGUGAAGACAAUGGAGCGCGAAGACUGUGUGGUUUCGUCGUUUCCUUUUCUUCUUUGUUGAGUCAUAGGAACCACCGUACUGUUAAGUGGGGUCCAAGUGAACUAAGUCAGAGUGACUGAUGUGAUGCUCAACCCAAAUCCUAUGUCUUUGAGCGAAGACAAUGAGAGCAAAUCUUAUUCAGAGCUGGAUGAGUCAGCUUUGCUUGUAGCCCAAGUAAAGCUGUCGUGUGUGUUUGAAAUCUGACCGUUGGAACACGUGUCAGUUCCUUAGUGACCCAGGGUCAUUUUGGACAAAUCCGGUCGGGUUGCCUAGUGGCUAUAAAUAGCCCACCCCCUACACCAUAAAUUGGCUGGCUGCUCAGAGUUUGUGCACGGCUUUUGUCGUUUGAGAGCAACCCACCUCGAAGCAUUUGAGAGAGAGAAAUCCUUGCGAGGACAAAGCCCAAAUACCCAGAGCCAAAGAGUGUUAGGCAUCACUGAAGUCUUUCUGUCUGUGUGACCUGAAGACUUAUUACACUUGAGGACUGUGAAUCCUCCAGCUGGUUAGGCAUCGCGUUCUGAGCAUCCAAGAGUCAUUGUGGAUUACCGGUGAACAAAGUCUGUGAAGGUUUGGAAGUCUCCCUUGAAGACUUACCAGAGUGAUUGGGCGAGGACUGGGUGUCCUUAGCUCAAGGGGAAUAAGGUGAAGACGCGGUCUUUUGAGUUAAAUCUCAGCCUCCCUAACCAGAUGUACAGUUGUCACAGCAACUGGAACUGGUCCAACAAAUCCUGUGUCUUCAACAAGCAACUGGUUCUAUCCCUUCCAACCUUACUUAAGUUUGUCUUCGUGAAGUCAUUGCUUAUCUGUAUAUCUGUUUGACUUCAUUGCUUGACUACUAUUGUUGAUUGGCUUCACACUAUAUUCCAUCUUGAUCCUUACUACCUAACUGCUAGUAGCCCUGUAUUUUCACAUCAUUACAUACUUGACUAUGGCUUGUUUAGGGUAGUUUAUCUUCCGUUGCAUAUCAAUUAGGUUGUUUUUGUUGUUUGUCUUCGAAACUUCCAAGUUUUGAAGACUUUCAUAAAAAUCGCCUAUUCACCCCCCCCUCUAGUCGAUACUAGCACUUUCACUUAGAAAAAAUAAGGAGAGGACUUUCGGGAUGGAGCGCCACCGUCUCGAGGCGAAACUUGGGCAGGAGCACUUUUGCUCUCCGUCGGAGCGAUUUCGUCGGGGACACUUCCCUCCAGGAGGGGGAAAUCGAAGCUAUCGUCAUCACCACCAACCCUCUCAUCGUGGGAGGGCCAAACUCCAGCAACAUCUUCAACAUCACCAUCUCAUCUCAAAACCCUAGUUCAUCUCUUGUGUUCAAUCUUUGUAUCAGAACCUCAUAUUGGUACAUGUGGGUGACUAGUAGUGUUGAUUACAUAUUGUAGUUGAUGCUAGGUUAUUUGGUGGAAGAUUAUAUGUUCAGAUCCAUUAUGCUAAUUAUUACUCCUCUGAUCUUGAGCAUGAAUAUGUUGUGUGAGUAGUUACUUUUGUUCUUGAGGACAUGGGAGAAGUCUUGUCAUAAGUAAUUGCGUGAAUUGGAUAUUCGUUCGAUAUCUUGAUGAUAUGUAUGUCGUGAUUCCCUUAGUGGUGUUAUGUGAACGUCGACUACAUGACACUUCACCAUCUUUGAGCCUAAGGGAAUGCAUUGUGGAGUAACUAUUAUAUGAUGGGUUGCUAGAGUAAUAGAAGCUUAAACCCUGGUUUAUGCGUUAUUCCGUAAGGGGAUGAUUUGGAUCCAUACGUUUAAUGUUAUGGUUAGAAUUUAUCUUAAUUCUUUUUUCGUAGCUGCAGAUGCUUGCGAGAGGCGUUAAUCAUAAGAUGGAGGCUUGUUCAAGUAAGAACGGCACCCAAACACUAGUCCACCCACAUAUCAAAUUAUCAAAGUAGCGAACGCAAACCAAACCAACAUGACGAAAGUGACCAGAUGAAAUUCUGGUGUGUCCUCAAGAAUGCUUUGCUUACUAUAAGAGCUUGUUUUCGCUUUUCCUUUGCUACAAAAGAGAGUUGGGCUGCCUUGCUGCACCUAUUGUUACUAUUUCUACUUUUUACUUGUUACAAAUUAUCUUGCUCUCAAACUACGUGUUACCGAUAAUUUCAGUGCUUGCAGAAUUUACCUUGCUGAAAACCGCUUGUCAUUUGCUUCUGCUCCUCGUUGGGUUUGACACUCUUACUUAUUGGAAGGACUACGAUUGAUCCCCUAUACUUGUGGUUCAUCAAGAAACUUUUCUGUCGCCGUUGUCGGGGAGCGAAGCGCUCUUAGUAAGUGGAAAUUGGUAAGGAAAAAUUUAUAUGACAUGCUGAAAUUUGCUAUUACUUGUUACUAUGAAAAACAAUCCUUUGAGGGGUUUGUUCGAGGUAUCUUUGUAAUGCCCCGGAUACAACUUUCCAUAUUUGUAACUCCAACUCUUGUUAAGCCAUUUCCGGCUAUGUGAUAUGUUAUUUCCUUCGUGGUUGGGUUUUGUCUUUUGUUUUGCAUUUUGUUCAUGUCAUGCAUCUCAUCUCAUGGCAUCAUGUGCAUUGCAUCCGCAUGUUUUCAUAAAACUCGCACCCGUUCGUAGUUGCCGCGUUCCUAAAACAUCUCCGUUUUAUUAUUUGGACUCCCUGCCUAUUUUAUUCUGGACCGUUCGAUUGCGAUCGAAGGGACGAAUUAGCCCCUAAACUAACCUAAUCCAACUACUAUUUAAACUGACCUAACCCUAAAAUCUCGAAUGGUUGUCCCAUCCUUCCCAUCCCCGCCACCACCCACCUACCUUUCUUCCUCGGGAUCCCCUCGUUCCCCCCGAUCCAAUCCCACCAACCAGACUCCACCUGAGGCCUCCCCUCGAUCCAACUCGUCUUCACUCUCCUCAUCGACCAGGGAGACGAGCUCCUCCUGAGACCAGCAGAUGAUCCCCCGUCGCGACCCUCUCCUUCUGUUCCCUCUUCCCUGCAGCUCCCUCUCCCUAAUCUCCUCAUACCUCUGUAUCUCAACAGGAGCUCCAGCACCAUGGCCAUCCGAGCUCGGCCCGCGCAGCUCGGAGACUCCAAGCCCCCUCGUUCCAGCAGUCUAGGAGGAUGCCGCCGUGCCCGUGCUGCAUCCCGCGAACCAGCCGGCGACCCCGACCUUCAGGCUACCCCGACGCGCUCGAUGCCUCCUCCUCCACCCCUCUGCGAGCCCCCGACGCCACCUCAUCCUGCCGCCGGCGGCGACCAGCAGGUCAUGUCGCCGUGCCUCUUCCUUCCCCGUCCCCGUCGCCCUCUCUUGUUCUCCAUUUUUUUCCUCUGCCUCCAGUCUCAAGUUCUCUCUGUUUCCCAGCACAAGGCUUCGUUGCCGUCAUCCUCGUGCUACUUCAUCGUUGCUGCCGGAUCCGCCUCGCCGAGUCCUCGCCCCCGCGUUGGUUCUGCGCCUUGCCAUGGCGCCGCUGCUGGUGAGUCGCUGUCGUUCAGCAAGGCCCCUCUCGGCCUCUCCUUUUUCCUUACCCGACUUGUUUCUCUCUGAAUUUGUCUCCUCGUUGAAUAGAGGACAAGCGCCACCUUCUCCAGCUCCGCCAGAACGCCACCUCGCCGAAGAGCCCAUGCCAGGGUCAUCCUCUUCUUCUGAUCUGGCGCCGUCCCAGGAGCUUGCCGUUAGAUCCAGUGAUCUCCUCCCGUUCCCGUCGCUCCGUCAUCCUCUGAGUUGCCCAUGCCGCGGCGGCUUUGCUUCCUGUCGAGCAGAGGACGCCCGCUCGUCCCAGCCGCGUUGACUGUGUCCUGUCCCUCCCGCGCCAAGGCCCAACGCUCCAGCCUCCCUUGCCGGCCUCACCUCACCGUCGAACUAGGCUGUGGCCCAUGGUGAGCAGCCCCCGCCCUCUGUAUGCUCUGUUGGCCCAGCCAGUUUUGGCCCGCUUAUGUUUUUUUAGCAUCUGCGAAUUUAGCUAUUUAUCCAGUGAAUUGACAUAUUUGCAGAAAACCCCUCUAACUUCAUGCAUAUAAUAACUCAUGAACUAUGCAUCAUAUGUAAAUAAUUUAUAUAUGAAAAAUGCUUAGAAUUUCAUCUAGUUUCAUAUUAUGCUGCUUUCAACCAUGUUUGAAAUGUUUAAAAUGUUGUUUGUUUAAAUUUGCUCAAAUGCCAUGUUAAAAUGAUUUAUUUCAUAACUAAAUAACCGUAGCUCCAAAUUUAAUAAACUUUAUAUGUAAAUGGGGUGGAAAAAUGCAUAGAUUAACUUGGUGCACUUUGUUUUACUGCUUAACAACAUUGUAAUAUGGUUUAGGGCAGAACAGUACCAAAUUCAAAAUAUGGACAUGAGGAUUUUCCGGAAUUGUUGUUUGGUUUUUCCGGCCUCAUUUAAACUUGCCUAAAUAGUUAGAUUACUUAUGUUACAUCUCUUGCCAUGUUUAACAACAUUUAAUAUUGUUGUGUACCUAAACGAGAGCGAACUAAAUAACUCGAAUGUGGUGUUUCAUCAAUAUGCAACUCGUUGCAUAUUGAGCUCCACUUAACUUGUAGUAUUGUUUCUUGCACUUUGUCAUGUCAUGCCUCAUUAAACCGGACAUGCAUCAUACUUGAUUUUGCAUCAUGCCAUGAUUAUGCUUGUGUGUUUACCAUGUUGUUUCCUCCUUUCUGGUUUGCUUCUCUCGUUAGCUUCGGUUUCGUUCUGGAGUUAUGAGGAUUCGUUUGACUACGUCCAUUUGUGUCCUUCAUGGACUCGAUCUUCUUCCUUGCGGGAUUUCAGGCAAGAUGACUGUCACCUUGGAUCUCACUUCUAUCAUUGUUAUGCUAGUUGCUUCGUUCUAUCGCUUUGCCGCACUACCUAUCUCUUGUUGCUCAAGCCUCCCAAAUUACCAUGUCAGCCUCUAACCUUUUCACCCUUCCUAGCAAACCGUUGCUUGGCUAUGUUACCGCUUUGCUCAGCCCCUCUUAUAGCGUUGUUAGUUGCAGGUGAAGUUGAAGAUUGCUCCAUGAUGGACAGGAUUAUGUUGGGAUAUCACAAUAUCUCUUAUUUAAUUAAUGCAUCUAUCUACUUGGUAAAGGGUGGAAGGCUCGGCCUUAUGCCUGGCGUUUUGUUCCACUCUUGCCGCCCUAGUUUCCGUCAUACCGGUGUUAUGUUCCUUGAUUUUGCAUUCCUUACACGGUUGGGAGAUUUAUGGGACCCCGUUGACAGUUCGCUUUGAAUAAAACUCCUCCAGCAAGGCCCAACUUUGGUUUUACCAUUUGCCUACCUAAGCCUUUUUCCCUUGGGUUUCCGGAGCCCGAGGGUCAUCUUUAUUUAACCCCCCGGGCCAGUGCUCCUUCGAGUGUUGGUCUGAACCGAGUAGACUGCGGGGCCACCACGGGGCAACUCGAGGGCUGGUUUUACUCGUAGGCGGACCUAUCUGUUGUGCCCUGAGAACGAGAUAUGUGCAGCUCCUAUCGGGAUUUGUCAGCACAUCGGGCGGCUUUGCUGGUCUUGUUUUACCAUUGUUGAAAUUUCUUGUAAACCGGGAUUCUGAGACUGAUCGGGUCUUCCUGGGAGAAGGAAUAUCCUUCGUUGACCGUGAGAGCUUGUGAUGGGCUAAGUUGGGACACCCCUGCAGGGUAUAAACUUUCGAGAGUUGUGCCCGUGGUUAUGUGGUAGAUGGGAAUUUGUUAAUGUCCGGUUGUAGAUAACUUGACACUUGACUUAAAUAAAACGCAUCAACCGCGUGUGUAACCGUGAUGGUCUCUUUUCGGCGGAGUAUGGGAAGUGAACACGGUUUUGGGUUAUGUUUGACAUAAGUAGGAGUUCAGGAUCACUUCUUGAUCAUUGCUAGCUUCACGACCGUUCGUUGCUUCUCUUCUCGCUCUUAUUUGCGUAUGUUAGCCUCCAUAUCAUGCUUAGUCGCUGCUGCAACCUCACCACUUUACCCCUUCCUUACCCAUUAAGCUUUGCUAGUCUUGAUACCCAUGGUAAUGGGAUUGCUGAGUCCUCGUGGCUCACAGAUUACUACAACAACAGCUGCAGGUACAGGUUGCGAUGAUCAUGAUGCGAGAGUGAUGCUUGCUUGUUUUGGAGUUCUUCUUCUGCUUCUUCUUUGAUCAGGGGAUAGGUUCCAGGUUGGCAGCCUGGGCUAGCAGGGUGGAUGUCGUUUGAGUUUCUGUUUGUGUUUCAUCCUUAGUCGGAUGUGGCUCUUGUGUAUGAUGUUGUUGUAUUCAUGUGGUAUUGUUUGCCUCUUGUAUGUAUCCCCAACUAUUAUGUAAUGGUACGAUGUAAUGAUAUCCACCUUGCAAAAGCGUCUCCAAUAUGUGUUGGAAAUAUGCCCUAGAGGCAAUAAUAAAAGUAUUAUUAUAUUUCCUUGUUCAUGAUAAUUGUCUUUUAUUCAUGCUAUAACUGUAUUAUCCGGAAAUCAUAAUACAUGUGUGAAUACAUAGACCACAAUAUGUCCCUAGUAAGCCUCUAGUUGACUAGCUCGUUGUGAUCAACAGAUAGUCAUGGUUUCCUGGCUAUGGACAUUGGAUGUCGUUGAUAACGGGAUCACAUCAUUAGGAGAAUGAUGUGAUGGACAAGACCCAAUCGUAAGCAUAGCACAAAGAUCGUGUAGUUCGUUUGCUAGAGCUUUUCCAAUGUCAAGUAUCUCUUCCUUAGACCAUGAGAUCGUGUAACUCCCGGAUACCGUAGGAGUGCUUUGGGUGUAUCAAACGUCACAACGUAACUGGGUGACUAUAAAGGUGCACUACAGGUAUCUCCGAAAGUGUCUGUUGGGUUGACACGGAUCGAGACUGGGAUUUGUCACUCCGUGUAAACGGAGAGGUAUCUCUGGGCCCACUCGGUAGGACAUCAUCAUAAUGUGCACAAUGUGACCAAGGGGUUGAUCACGGGAUGAUGUGUUACAGAACGAGUAAAGAGACUUGCCGGGAACGAGAUUGAACAAGGUAUCGGUAUACCGACGAUCGAAUCUCGGGCAAGUACAAUACCGUUAGACAAAGGGAAUUGUAUACGGGAUUAAUUGAGUCCUUGACAUCGUGGUUCAUCCGAUGAGAUCAUCGUGGAACAUGUGGGAGCCAACAUGGGUAUCCAGAUCCCGCUGUUGGUUAUUGACCGGAGAACGUCUCGGUCAUGUCUACAUGUCUCCCGAACCCGUAGGGUCUACACACCUAAGGUUCGAUGACGCUAGGGUUAUAAAGGAAGUUUGUAUGUGGUUACCAAAUGUUGUUCAGAGUCCCGGAUGAGAUCCUGGACGUCACGAGGAGUUCCGAAAUGGUCCGGAGGUAAAGAUUUAUAUAUGGGAAGUCCUGUUUUGGUCACCGGAAAAGUUUCGGGUUUUAUCGGUAACGUACCGGGACCACUAGGAGGGUCCUGGGGGUCCACCAAGUGGGGCCACCGGCCCCAGAGGGCUGCAUGGGCCAAGUGUGGGAGGGGACCAGCCCCAAGUGGGCUUGUGCGCCCCCCACCAAGGCCCAAGGCGCCUAGGGUUUGGGGAGGGGGUGCUUCCACCUAACUUGGGGGGCAAGUUUCCCCCCUCUCCCCCCUUGGCCGCCACCCUUAGAUGGGAUUGGGGCUGCCGCACCCCUUGGGGUGGAAACCCUAGGGAGGGCGCACCCCCCUCCCUCUCCCCUAUAUAUAGUGGAGGUCUUGAGGGCUGCCAACAGAUGAGAACUUCUCCUCUUGGCACAGCCCUACCUCUCUCCCUUCUCCUCAUAUCUCGCGGUGCUUGGCGAAGCCCUGCUAGACUACCACGCUCCUCCAUCACCACCACGCCGUUGUGCUGCUGCUGGAUGGAGUCUUCCUCAACCUCUCCCUCUCUCCUUGCUGGAUCAAGGCGUGGGAGACGUCACCGGGCUGUACGUGUGUUGAACGCGGAGGUGCCGUCCGUUCGGCACUAGGAUCUCCGGUGAUUUGGAUCACGACGAGUACGACUCCUUCAACCCCGUUCUCUUGAACGCUUCCGCUUAGCAAUCUACAAGGGUAUGUAGAUGCACUCUCCUUCCCCUCGUUGCUGGUUUCUCCAUAGAUAGAUCUUGGUGACACGUAGGAAAAUUUUGAAUUUCUGCUACGUUCCCCAACAGUGGUAUCAGAGCUAGGUCUAUUGCGUAGAUUCUUUGCACGAGUAGAACACAAAGUAGUUGUGGGCAUUGAUUUUGUUCAAUAUGCUUACCGUUACUAGUCCAAUCUUGUUUCGACGGUAUUGUGGGAUGAAGCGGCCCGGACCGACCUUACACGUACACUUACGUGAGACAGGUUCCACCGACUGACAUGCACUUGGUGCAUAAGGUGGCUAGCGGGUGCCAGUCUCUCCCACUUUAGUCGGAACGGAUUCGAUGAAAAGGGUCCUUAUGAAGGGUAAAUAGCAAUUAGCAUAUCACGUUGUGGUUUUGCGUAGGUAAGAAACGUUCUUGCUAGAAACCCAUAGCAGCCACGUAAAACAUGCAAACAACAAUUAGAGGACGUCUAACUUGUUUUUGCAGGGUAUGCUAUGUGAUGUGAUAUGGCCAAGAAGAAUGUGAUGAAUGAUAUGUGAUGUAUGAGAUUGAUCAUGUUCUUGUAAUAGGAAUCACGACUUGCAUGUCGAUGAAUAUGACAACCGGCAGGAGCCAUAGGAGUUGUCUUAAUUUAUUGUAUGACCUGCAUGUCAUUAAACAACACCAUGUAAUUACUUUACUUUAUUGCUAACCGGUAGCCAUAGUAGUAGAAGUAAUAGUUGGCGAGACAACUUCAUGAAGACACGAUGAUGGAGAUCAUGAUGAUGGAGAUCAUGGUGUCAUGCCGGUGACGAUGAUGAUCAUGGAGCCCCGAAGAUGGAGAUCAAAAGGAGCAAAGUGAUAUUGGCCAUAUCAUGUCACUAUUUGAUUGCAUGUGAUGUUUAUCAUGUUUAUGCAUAUUGUUUACUUAGAACGACGGUAGUAAAUAAGAUGAUCCCUUACAAAAAUUUCAAGAAGUGUUCUCCCCUAACUGUGCACCGUUGCUAAAGUUCGUCGCUUCUAAGCACCACGUGAUGAUCGGGUGUGAUGGAUUCUUACGUUCACAUACAAUGGGUGUAAGACAAAUUUACACACGUGAAACACUUAGGGUUAACUUGACGAGCCUAGCAUGUACAUACAUGGCCUCGGAACACAGAGACCGAAAGGUCGAGCAUGAGUCGUAUAGUAGAUACGAUCAACAUGAAGAUGUUCACCGAUGAUGACUAGUCCGUCUCACGUGAUGAUCGGACACGGCCUAGUUGACUCGGAUCAUGUAAUCACUUAGAUGACCAGAGGGAUGUCUAUCUGAGUGGGAGUUCAUAAGAUGAACUUAAUUAUCCUGAACAUAGUCAAAAGAUCUUUGCAAAUUAUGUCGUAGGCUCACGCUUUAGUUCCACUGUUUAGAUAUGUUCCUAGAGAAAAUAUGGUUGAAAGUUGACAGUAGAGAUUAUGCGGACAAUAGAAAGCUUAUGUCCUUAAUGCACCACUCAGUGUGCUGAACCCCAAACGUCGUUUGUGGAUGUUGCGAACAUCGGACAUACACGUUUUGAUAGCUACGUGAUAGUUCAGUUAAACGGUUUAGAGUUGAGGCACCAAAGACGUGUUCGAAACGUCGCGGAACAUAUGAGAUGUUUCGAGGGCUGAAAUUGGGAUUUCUGGCUCGUGCGCACGUCAAGAGGUAUAAGACCUCCGACGAUUUUCUUAACCGGCAAACUAAGGGAGAAAAGCUCAAUCGUUGAGCUUGUGCUCAGAUUGUCUGAGUGCAACAAUCACUUGAAUCAAGUGGGAGUUGAUCUUCCAGAUGAGAUAGUGAUGUUUCUCCAAAGUCACUGCCACCAAGCUGCUAGAGCUUCGUGAUGAACUAUAACAUAUCAGGGAUAGAUAUGACGAUCCUUGAGGUAUUCGCGAUGUUUAACACCGCGAAAGUAGAAAUCAAGAAGGAGCAUCAAUUGUUGAUGGUUGGUGAAACCACUAGUUUUAAGAAGGGCAAGGGCAAGAAGGGAUACUUCAUGAAACGGCAAAUCAGCUGCUGCUCUGGUGAAGAAACCCAAGGUUGAACCCAAACCCGAGACUAAGUGCUUCUGUAAUAAGGGGAACAACCACUGGAGCGGUAUUACCCUAGAUACUUGGUAGAUGAGAAGGCUGGCAAGGUCGAUAGAAGUAUAUUGGAUAUACAUUAUGUGUACUUUACUAGUACUCCUAGUAGCACCAGGGUAUUAGAUACCGGUUCGGUUGCUAAGUGUUAGUAACUCGAAAUAAAAGCUACGGAAUAAACGGAGACUAGCUAAAGGUGAGCUGACGAUAUGUGUUGGAAGUGUUUCCAAGGUUGAUGUGAUCAAGCAUCGCACGCUCCCUCUACCAUCGAGAUUUGGUGUUUGCGUUGAGCAUAGACAUGAUUGGAUUAUGUCUAUCGCAAUACGGUUAUUCGUUUAAGGAGAAUAAUGGUUACUCUAUUUAUUUGAAUAAUACCUUCAAUGGUCUUGCACCUAAAGGAAUGAUUUAUUGAAUCUCGAUCGUAGUGAUACACAUUUUCAUGCCAAAAAGAUAUAAGAUAGUAAUGAUAGUACCACUUACUUGUGGCACUGCCAUGUAAGUCAUAUUGGUGUAAAACGCAUGAAGAAGCUCCAUGUUGAUGGAUCUUUGGACUCACUCGUUUUUGAAAAGUUUGAGACAUGCGAACCAUGUCUAUUGAUGUAUACGCAUGAAGAAACUCCAUGCAGAUGGAUCGUUUGGACUCACUUGAUUUUGAAUCACUUGAGAUAUGCAAAUCAUACCACAUGGACAAGAUGACUGAAAAGCCUCUUUUUCAGUAAGAUGGAACAAGAUAGCAACUUGUUGGAAGUAACACAUUUUGAUGUGUGCAGUCCAAUGAGUGCUGAGGCAUGCAGUGAAUAUCGUUAUGUUCUUACUUCACAGAUGAUUCGAGUAGAUGUUGAGUAUAUUUACUUGAUGAAACACAAGUCUGAAUUAUUGAAUGGUUCAAGUAAUUUCAGAGUGAAGUUGAAGAUCAUCGUGACAAGAGGAUAAAAUGUCUAUGAUAUGAUCAUAGAGAUGAGUAUCUGAGUAACGAGCUUUGGCACGCAAUUAAGACAUUGUGGAAAUUGUUUCACAAUUAAUACCAUAGUUUGAUGGUGUGUCCGAACAUCAUAGUUGCACCCUAUUGGAUAUGGUGCAUACCAUGAUGUCUCUUAUCGAAUUACCACUAUCGUUUAUGGGUUAGGCAUUAGAGACAACCACAUUCACUUUAAAUAGGGCAGCACGUAAUUCCGUUGAGAUGACACCGUAUGAACUAUGGUUUAGAGAAACCUAAGUUGUCAUUUCUUAAAGGUUUGGGGCUGCGGCGCUUAUGAGAAAAAGUUUCAGGUUGAUAAGCUCGAACCCAAAGCGGAUAAAAUGCAUCUUCAUAAGACACCCAAAACAGUUGGGUAUACCUCCUAAUUCAGAUCCGAAAGCAAUAGGGAUUGUUUCUUGAACCGGGUCCUUUCUCGAGGAAAAGUUUGUCUCGAAAAGUUGAGUGGGAGGAUGGUGGAGACUUGAUAUGGUUAUUGAACCAUCACUACAACUAGUGUGUAGCAGGGCACAGGAAGUUGUUCCUGUGGCACCUACACCAAUUGAAGUAGAAGCUUAUGAUAGUGAUCAUGAAACUUCGGAUCAAGUCACUACCGUACCUCGUAGGGUGACAAGGAUGCGUACUGCUUCAGAGUGGUACAGUAAUCCUGUCUUGAAGGUCAUGUUGCUAGACAACAAUGAACCUACGAGCUAUGGAGAAGCAAUGGUGGGCCCAAAUUCCGAUAAAUGGUUAGAAGCCAUGAAAUCCGAGAUAGGAUCCAUGUAUCAGAACAAAGCAUGGACUUUGGUGGACUUGCCCAAUGAUCGGCAAGCCAUUGAGAUAAAUGGAUCUUUAAGAAGAAGACGGACGUGGAUGGUAAUGUCACCAUCUAUGAAGCUCGACUUGUGGCGAAGAGUUUUUCACAAGUUCAAGGAGUUGACUACAAUGAGAUUUUCUCAUCCGUAGCGAUGCUUAAGUCCGUCAGAAUCAUGUUAGCAUUAGCUGCAUUUAUGAAAUCUGGCAGAUGGAUGUCAAAACGAGUUUCCUUACCAGUUUUCGUAAGGAAAGGUUGUAUGUGAUACAAUCAGAAAAGUUUUGUCGAUCCUAAGGAUGCUAAAAGGCAUGCUAGAUCCAGCGAUCCUUCCAUGGACUGGAGUAAGCAUCUCGGAGUUGGAAUAUGCACUUUGAUAAGAUGAUCAAAGAUUUUUGUUUAUACAAAGUUGAUGAGAAACUUGUAUUUCCAAAGAAGUGAGUGGGAGCACUAUAGAAUUUCUGAUGAGUAUAUGUUGUUGAUCAGAAAUGAUGUAGAAUAGGGUUGUUUUGAAAAAUGUUUUUCAAUGGAAAACCUGGAUUAAGCUAUUUGAACAUUGAGCAUCAAGAUCUAUGAGGAUAGAUCAAAAACGCUAAAUGGUACUUUCAAAAUGAGCACAUACCUUGACAUGAUCUUGAAGGUGUUCAAGAUGGAUCAGUCAAAGAAGGAGUUCUUGCCUGAGUUGUAAGGUAUGAAGUUAAGAGUUAAAGCUCGACCACGGCAGAAGAGAGAGAAAGGACGAAUGUCGUGCCCUAUGCUUCAGACAUAGGCUCUAUAGUUUGCUAUGCUGUGUACCGCACCGGAAGUGUGCCUUGCCAUGAGUCAGUCAAGGGGUACAAGAAUGAUCCAGGAAUGGAUCAUUGGACAACGGUCAAAAUUGUCCUUGAAGUAAAUAAGGACAUGUUUCUCGAUAUGGAGGUGAUAAAGAGUUCGGCGUAAAGGGUUACGUCGGUGCAAGCUUUAACACCUAUCCGAGUGACUCUGAGUAGCAAACCGGAUACCUAUAGUGGAGCAACCAUUUGGAAUAGCUCCAAAUGGAGCGUGGAAGCAGCGUUUACAAUAUGACCUAGAAAUUUGCAAAGCACACACGGAUCUGAAAGGUUUAGACCCGUUGACUAAAACCUCUCUUGCAACCAAAACAUGAUCAAACCCCAGAACUCAUUGAGUCUUAAUCACAUGAUGAUGUGAAAUAGUUUAGUGACACUAGUAAACUCUUUUGAUGUUGGUCACAUGGUGAUGUGACCUGUGAGUGUUAAUCACAUGGCGAUGUGAACUAGAUUAUUGACUCUAGUGCAAGUGGGAGACUGUUGGAAAUAUGCCCUAGAGGCAAUAAUAAAAGUAUUAUUAUAUUUCCUUGUUCAUGAUAAUUGUCUUUUAUUCAUGCUAUAACUGUACUAUCCGGAAAUCGUAAUACACGUGUGAAUACAUAGACCACAAUAUGUCCCUAGUAAGCCUCUAGUUGACUAGCUCGUUGUGAUCAACAGAUAGUCAUGGUUUCCUGGCUAUGGACAUUGGAUGUCGUUGAUAACGGGAUCACAUCAUUAGGAGAAUGAUGUGAUGGACAAGACCCAAUCCUAAGCAUAGCACAAGAUCGUGUAGUUCGUUUGCUAGAGCUUUUCCAAUGUCAAGUAUCUCUUCCUUAGACCAUGAGAUCGUGUAACUCCCGGAUACCGUAGGAGUGCUUUGGGUGUAUCAAACGUCACAACGUAACUGGGUGACUAUAAAGGUGCACUACAGGUAUCUCCGAAAGUGUCUGUUGGGUUGACACGGAUCAAGACUGGGAUUUGUCACUCCGUGUAAACGGAGAGGUAUCUCUGGGCCCACUCGGUAGGACAUCAUCAUAAUGUGCACAAUGUGACCAAGGGGUUGAUCACGGGAUGAUGUGUUACGGAACGAGUAAAGAGACUUGCCGGUAACGAGAUUGAACAAGGUAUCGGUAUACCGAUGAUUGAAUCUCGGGCAAGUACAAUAUCGUUAGACAAAGGGAAUUGUAUACGGGAUUAAUUGAUUCCUUGACAUCGUGGUUCAUCCGAUGAGAUCAUCGUGGAACAUGUGGGAGCCAACAUGGGUAUCCAGAUCCCGCUGUUGGUUAUUGACCGGAGAACGUCUCGGUCAUGUCUACAUGUCUCCCAAACCCGUAGGGUCUACACACUUAAGGUUCGAUGACGCUAGGGUUAUAAAGGAAGUUUGUAUGUGGUUACCAAAUGUUGUUCGGAGUCCCGGAUGAGAUCCCGGACGUCACGAGGAGUUUCGGAAUGGUUCGGAGGUAAAGAUUUAUAUAUGGGAAGUCCUGUUUUGGUCACCGGAAAAGUUUCGGGUUUUAUCGGUAACGUACCGGGACCACCGGGAGGGUCCCGGUGGUCCACCAAGUGGGGCCACCGGCCCCAGAGGGCUUCAUGGGCCAAGUGUGGGAGGGGACCAGCCCCAGGUGGGCUGGUGCGCCCCCCACCAAGGCCCAAGGCGCCUAGGGUUUGGGGAGGGGGUGCUUCCACCUAACUUGGGGGGCAAGUUUCCCCCCUCUUCCACCUUGGCCGCCACCCUUAGAUGGGAUUGGGGCUGCCGCACCCCUUGGGGUGGAAACCCUAGGGGGAGCGCACCCCCUCCCUCUCCCCUAUAUAUAGUGGAGGUCUUGAGGGCUGCCAACAGAUGAGAACUUCUCCUCUUGGCACAGCCCUACCUCUCUCCCUUCUCCUCAUAUCUCGCGGUGCUUGGCGAAGCCCUGCUAGACUACCACGCUCCUCCAUCACCACCACGCCGUUGUGCUGCUGCUGGAUGGAGUCUUCCUCAACCUCUCCCUCUCUCCUUGCUGGAUCAAGGCGUGGGAGACGUCACCGGGCUGUACGUGUGUUGAACGCGGAGGUGCCGUCCGUUCGGCACUAGGAUCUCCGGUGAUUUGGAUCACGACGAGUACGGCUCCUUCAACCCCGUUCUCUUGAACGCUUCCACUUAGCAAUUUACAAGGGUAUGUAGAUGCACUCUCCUUCCCCUCGUUGCUGGUUUCUCCAUAGAUAGAUCUUGGUGACACGUAGGAAAAUUUUGAAUUUCUGCUACGUUCCCCAACAAUAUGCGAUUCUAUCCUUAGUGGGACCUUUGAGUUCCUUUAGGAUAGGGUUGCAUAUUGGGUGUGACAAGUUGGUAUCAGAGCCUCGACCGACCAUAGGAGCCCCCUUGAUUGUUGGCCGUUGUUGAGUCUAGAAGAAAACUAUUUUGAGUCUUGGGUUUAUAUAUAUCGGAGAGUACGAUUCUUUUUACUCCUCAGCCCCCUUCGUCACUCUGGUGAGGACUCUCGACGUAGAUGUUUUGUCUUUCCUCUCCUCAAUUUUUCACAAUUUUUUUAGGAUCAUGCGGGUAUCUUGGGAUCGUUCCAAUAUUCUUGUGAUGAGAACAUUGUUCUUGGUGCCUCCUGACAUUUAGGGGUUGUGGCAGUGUCCCGGUGAGUUGAGCUCCGAGGUGUUGUCGUCACAAUUUUAUCGUUGCAGUUCUGAAAUACCUGAGUUUUGCCGACAUAGAAAAUCUCUUUUUAUGCAGUUGUUGGUGAGAUAACCUCGACGCCACCCAGUACUGGGGAGUUCGGGAGUAUUGCCAUAGCUCGUAUAAUAGAUGCUUUUCGAAGGUUGAGGUACACGAUUUCUGGAGUUUUCUUGGUUAUGUGUUGACGGAUGGAUACAACCGGAUGUUGGGAUUGUUAGUUUGGGUGAGAUAUAUUGCUUCCCCUGUAUCCCCAACACCAGAUUGCAUAACCAGAAAGUUUUGGGAGUUUAUAGGUGGGAAUUCAAGUAGCUCCUGGAAUAUCUUUCGGACAGAUGCCUGAUAUGGGAUUGGGUAAAUCUCUAUCAUAUGUAUUUGUUCCGGCUUAUUUCUGCAAGCCAAUCCUUUGUUUUGUUUUGAGUUGUGGUAUUUGAGUUGCUUCAAUGUCAAGUGUUGAUUCCAUACCUUUCAAGCGGUGUUCUCAUAUUUCUAUGGGACUACUAAUCCUUUUGAUCAUCGAGAUUGUCAUGUCAAUUCUUUCCAACCGGUGUGCUUCUCUUCAAGUGGGUCCGAUCAUUUCAACAUUUGUGAGAUCAAUUCUAAGUUUUCUCAACGGUAUCCGUUUCAUCUGUCCCCAAUUUGCCUUUGUUUUCCCGCCCUCCCACCCUUUUUCUUCAAGGACUCAGAUUUCUCAAUCAUGUAUUCUUUUAUUUCUGGGAGGUCUCUUCAUUCUUUUCUUUCAGUGUUCUUAUCCGGUGAUUUCCCUUGAAGAUGCUCAACAGUUUCAAGUUCAUCAUCCUUCAUUGUUGUUUCUUCUCCGGUGGAUCCAAUUCAAGCUUUCGAUAUUCAUCAUAUUCCUUUCCUCGUUUCUAAUGCUUUCUCAUGCCGAUGCACCUCUUAAUCAUUCACUUCUUCCUAUUCAUUUGUUCUGGAGUGCUGAAGAUAUCUCACAAGACUUGUGUUUCCAUUCUCAAUCCAUUCAAGAUAUUUCAAGGUGGUUAUCUCAUUCAAGCCAUUUAAUUCAACCGGUGCAACCUCUCUUUAAAAUUGUUCAACGGUGUUUUCUUUUGAGUGGGCCCUAACCUACAUGUCUUUUCCCAGGAUCUUACCUGACUCUUCUAAUUUAUCCGGAGCGAUUCCCAAAGUCUUUCGAAGUUUGACGUAAGAAUGAAUUUUCAUCAGUCAUAUUCCUUCUCCAAGAUCGCUUUCAGAAUAUUUUCAUUGUUGGUUCAUCAUUUCUAUUCUUCUUUGUUCCGGAGUGUCUCAACAAUUGGGUGGUGUUUCUCCUCGUCAUUCUCGGAUUGUGAAGACCGAAGAAGAGUUCCUCUUAAAUCCUUACGCGUUCUUCCAAAGAUGCGUAGUUCAAGCUUGAUGCCAUCCUUUCAUAAUUGUUUUCUAUUGUGAGAAUUCUUUUCAACCAUCUGACGCAUUUCAGGAGUUGCUUCCUUUCUUGAUAAUCCGAAUGCCAUCAUUUCUGAAUAUUACUCAUUCUCAACCUUCAACUCUUGUUCUCCAAAUCUUACCGGUGCAUCGUUCAAAUAACCUCUAAUCAGUUCAUGGCCUCUUCAUUCUCAGGUAUCUAAAUCCCCUCAAGUAUCUUCAUUCGUUUUCCAAUUCUUCCCAGUGAAUUGUGCCUUUGCUACUUUCAUUUUCAAUUCUUAUGGUGGUUCAUACAAGAUUCCUCUUCCUUUGCUACCGUAUCAUUCCAUUCGUUGUUUCCAAUCCCACCGGUGGGUCCAUCAAUACCUUCUCAACUUUAUGCUAUAUCUCUCAUAAUCCUUUCAACGAGAAUAAGUAGCAUGCCUAUCCGUUGCUUGUCAUCAAUUUAAAUUGGUGAAGGAUAGGCAUGACAUAAUUCUUAUUCUUGUUUCAUCCAAGUGAUUAAUUCCUUCUUCCGGAGUUCAAGCAUAUUACAUUCCGAAGUGCAAUUCCUUCUAUCUUAUCUUUUGAGGUGGUGUUAUGUCACUCUUGACAAUUUCCUUCAUGUUUCAUGAUUCAUAUGUUGUCAAGAAUGAGAUAUUUUAAAAAACCAUCAUUUUUCUCUUCGAUCAUGAGAUCCUUUCAACCCAACAAUUUCUUUGUUGGAGUUAUCUUUGGUUAUUUUUCACCUAAAGCCUUCCCGAAGGAAUGUUGCUAAUUGUGGUGCUUAUCAUUGACCCAAGUUCUCCAGUUAUCCUCUUGGUGAAAGAAGUUUCUCUUAUCUUCAUUGAUCUCAACCAAUCAAUUGUUUCUGUUAGUGGCCGGUUGUCACCUCAUAAUUUUGAGAUGUGUUCCACAAGCCCACAACAAGCUUGUUCCUUUCAUUGUUGAUAAUCCAACAACUUCGUUCCAGUAUUUCUUGUAAGCGUGCUCUUUGAAGAUCUUGUUUCCCUCCGUUCAUUCCAUUCCAUUCUUUAAUUCCUUUCGGAGGCUUUGUGAUGUUGCUCUCUUCGACCUAUCGUCUCGUUUUGUCAGGACUGUGUUCUUUCCGUGCUUAUCCAUUUAACCGGAGUGUCGUGCCCUCAUUUCAAGUUCUCCCCAUUUUGUCAAGUUUUCCUUCCCUUUUCUACCGGAGUGCUGUCCAAAUCUGUCAUUCUUGUUCCUUGGCUAUCCCAUUAUACCGGUGUGGUGGCAUAUUCUCUUUGGGUCGUUAAGCUCUUGUUUCAUGUCUUUCAACCAACAAGGUUCUCAUAAUGUUCCCUGUUCCUCUCAUGUAACGAAGUGUUCUAAACUUCAUUCAUGUCCGCCGUAUUCUUACCUUGAAAUUGUUUAACCUCUCAAGGUUCAUGGUUUCACUCGUUUGUCGAAGAAGCAACUUAGUUUACCUCUUAUCUUCCUCUUCCUUUUCCCUCCGGUGCCAUCAUAGAUCUCAGGACGAGAUCCUCUCAUAGUGGUGGAGUGUUGUAAUGCCCCGGAUACAACUUUCCAUAUUUGUAACUCCAACUCUCUUGCCAUUUCCGGCUACGUGAUAUGUUAUUUCCUUCGUGGUUGGGUUUUGUCUUUUGUUUUGCAUUUUCUUCAUGUAAUGCAUCUCAUCUCAUGGCAUCAUGUGCAUUGCAUCCGCAUGUUUUCGUAAAACUCGCACCCGUUCGUAGUUGCCGCGUUCCCCUUGCCUCCCUUGACCGUUCUGAAGCCAACCACCCCCUUGCACGCGAUCGCCUUGUUCCUCUGCACAGCGCACAGACCCCCCACGCGCGUCCGUAACCUCUUCCGAACCCGACCUGCAUGGUCAUGACCGAUGAGUCCGAAUCAUCCCCCAACAUCCCUAAAACAUCUCCGUUUUAUUAUUUGGACUCCCUGCCUAUUUUAUUCUGGACCGUUCAAUUGCGAUCGAAGGGACGAAUUAGCCCCUAAACUAACCUAAUCCAACUACUAUUUAAACCAACCUAACCCUAAAAUCUCGGAUGGCUGUCCCAUCCUUCCCAUCCCCGCCACCACCCACCUACCUUUCUUCCUCGAGAUCCCCUCAUUCCCCCCGAUCCAAUCCCACCAACCAGACUCCACCCGAGGCCUCCCCUCGAUCCAACUCGUCUUCGCUCUCCUCGUCGACCAGGGAGACGAGCUCCUCCCGAGACCAGCAGAUGAGCCCCCGUCGCGACCCUCUCCUUCUGUUCCCUCUUCCCUGCAGCUCCCUCUCCCUAAUCUCCUCAUACCUCUGUACCUCAACAGGAGCUCCAGCGCCAUGGCCAUCCCGAGCUCAGCCCGCACAGCUCGGAGACCCCAAGCCCCCUCGUUCCAGCAGUCCAGGAGGAUGCCGCCAUGCCCGUGCUACAUCCCGCGAACCCGCCGACGACCCUGACCUUCAGGCUACCCCGACGCGCCCGAUGCCUCCUCCUCGACCCCUCUGCGAGCCCCCGAUGCCACCUCAUCCUGCCAUCGCCGGCGACCAGCAGGUCAUGUCGCCGUGCCUCUUCCUUCUCCGUCCCCGUCGCCCUCUCUUGUUCUCCAUUUUUUUCUCUGCCUGCAGUCUCAAGCUCUCUCUGUUUCCCAGCACAGGGCUUCGUUGCCGUCAUCCUCGUGCUACUUCGUCAUUGCUGCCGGAUCCGCCUCGCCGAGUCCUCGCCCCCGCGUUGGUUCUGCGCCUUGCCAUGGCGCCGCCGCUGGUGAGUCGCUGCCGUUCAGCAAGGCCCCUCUCGGCCUCUCCUUUUUCCUUCCUCGACUUGUUUCUCUCUGAAUUUGUCUCCUCGUUGAACAGAGGACAGGCGCCACCUUCUUCAGCUCCGCCAGAACGCCACCUCGCCAAAGAGCCCAUGCCAGGGUCGUCCUCUUCUUCUGAUCCGGCGCCGUCCAGGAGCUUGCCGUUAGAUCCAGUGUUCUCUCCUGUCGCUCUGUCCUCCUCUGAGUUGCCCGUGCCGCCGCGGCUCUGCUUCCUAUCGAGCAGAGGACGCCCGCUCGUCCCAGCCGCGUUGACCGUGUCCUGUCCCUCCCGCGCCAAGGCCCAGCGCGCCAGCCUCCCUUGCCGGCCUCACCUCACCGUCGAACUGGGCCGUGGCCCAUGGUGAGCAGCCCCCGCCCUCUAUAUGCUCUGUUGGCCCAGCCAGUUUCGGCCCGCUUAUGUUUUUUUAGCGUCUGUGAAUUUAGCUAUUUAUCCAGUAAAUUAACAGAUUUGCAAAAAACCCCUCUAACUUCAUGCAUAUAAUAACUCAUGAACUAUGCAUCUUAUGUAAAUAAUUCAUAUAUGAAAAAUGCUUAGAAUUUCAUCUAAUUUCAUAAUAUACUGCUUUCAACCAUGUUUGAAAUGUUGUUUGUUUAAAUUUGCUCAAAUGCCAUGUUAAAAUGAUUUAUUUCAUAACUAAAUAACCGUAGCUCCAAAUUUAAUAAACUUUAUAUGUAAAUGGGGAAAAUGCAUAGAUUAACUUGGUGCACUUUGUUUUACUGCUUAACAACAUUAAAAUAUGGUUUAGGGCAGAACAGUACCAAAUUCAAAAUAUGGACAUGAGGAUUUUCCGGAAUUGUUGUUUGUUGUUUCCAAACUCAUUUAAACUUGCCUAAAUAGUUAGAUUACUUAUGUUACACCUCUUGCCAUGUUUAACAAUAUUUAACAUUGUUGUGUGCCUAAACGAGAGCGAACUAAAUAACUCGAAUGUGGUGUUUCGUCAAUAUGCAACUCGUUGCAUAUUGAGCUCCACUUAACUUGUAGUAUUGUUUGUUGCACUUUGUCAUGUCAUGCCUCAUUAAACCGGACAUGCAUCAUACUUGAUUGUGCAUCAUGCCAUGAUUAUGCUUGUGUGUUUACCGUGUUGUUUCCUCCUUUCCGGUUUGCUUCUCUCGUUAGCUUCGGUUUCGUUCCGGAGUUGUGAGGAUUCAUUCGACUACGUCCGUUUGUCUCCUUCAUGGACUCAAUCUUCUUCCUUGCAGGAUUUCAGGCAAGAUGACCGUCACCUUGGAUCUCACUUCUAUCAUUGCUAUGCUAGUUGCUUUGUUCUAUCGCUUUUCCGCGCUACCUAUCUCUUGUUGCUCAAGCCUCCCAAAUUGCCAUGUCAGCCUCUAACCUUUUCACCCUUCCUAGCAAACUGUUGCUUGGCUAUGUUACCGCUUUGCUCAGCCCCUCUUAUAGCGUUGUUAGUUGCAGGUGAAGUUGAAGAUUGCUCCAUGAUGGACAGGAUUAUGUUGGGAUAUCACAAUAUCUGUUAUUUAAUUAAUGCAUCUAUCUACUUGGUAAAGGGUGGAAGGCUCGGCCUUAUUCCUGGCAUUUUGUUCCACUCUUGCCGCCCUAGUUUCUGUCAUACCGGUGUUAUGUUCCUUGAUUUUGCGUUCCUUACACGGUUGUGUGAUUUAUGGGACCCCCUUGACAGUUCGCUUUGAAUAAAACUCCUCCAGCAAGGCCCAACUUUGGUUUUACCAUUUGCCUACCUAAGCCUUUUUCCCUUGGGUUUCCGGAGCCCGAGGGUCAUCUUUAUUUAACCCCCCGGGCCAGUGCUUCUUCGAGUGUUGGUCUGAACCGAGUAGACUGCGGGGCCACCACGGGGCAACUCGAGGGCUGGUUUUACUCGUAGGCUGACCUAUCCGUUGUGCCCUGGGAACGAGAUAUGUGCAGCUCCUAUCGGGAUUUGUCGGCACAUCGGGCGGCUUUGCUAGUCUUGUUUUACCAUUGUCGAAAUGUCUUGUAAACCAGGAUUCCGAGACUGAUCGGGUCUUCCUGGGAGAAGGAAUAUCCUUCGUUAACCGUGAGAGCUUGUGAUGGGCUAAGUUGGGACACCCCUGCAGGGUAUAAACUUUUGAGAGCCGUGCCCGUGGUUAUGUGGCAGAUGGGAAUUUAUUAAUGUCCGGUUGUAGAUAACUUGACACUUGACUUAAAUAAAACGCAUCAACCGCGUGCGUAGCCAUGAUGGUCUCUUUUCGGCGGAGUUAGGAAGUGAACACGGUUUUGGGUUAUGUUUGGCGUAAGUAGGAGUUCAGGAUCACUUCUUGAUCAUUGCUAGCUUCACGACCGUUCCGUUGCUUCUCUUCUCGCUCUUAUUUGCGUAUGUUAGCCUCCAUAUCAUGCUUAGUCGCUGCUGCAACCUCACCACUUUACCCCUUCCUUAGCCAUUAAGCUUUGCUAGUCUUGAUACCCAUGGUAAUGGGAUUGCUGAGUCCUCGUGGCUCACAGAUUACUACAACAACAAUUGCAGGUACAGGUUGCGAUGAUCAUGACGCGAGAGCGAUGCUUGCUUGUUUUGGAGUUCUUCUUCUGGUUCUUCUUUGAUCAGGGGAUAGGUUCCAGGUCGGCAGCCUGGGCUAGCAGGGUGGAUGUCGUUUGAGUUUCUGUUUGUGUUUCAUCCAUAGUCGGAUGUGGCUCUUGUGUAUGACGUUGUUGUAUUCAUGUGGCAUUGUCUGCCUCUUGUAUGUAUCCCCAACUAUUAUGUAAUGGUACUGUCGGUGUCAAAACCGGCGGAUCUUGGGUGGGGGGUCCCGAACUGUGCGUCUAGGCGGAUGGUAACAGGAGACAAGGGACACGAUGUUUUACCCAGGUUCGGGCCCUCUUGAUGGAGGUAAAACCCUACGUCCUGCUUGAUUAAUAUUGAUGAUGUGUAUUACAAGAGUGGAUCUACCACGAGAUCAAGGAGGCUAAACCCUAGAAGCUAGCCUAUGGUAUGAUUGUUGUAAUGGAGGUUAUGUCCUACAGACUAAAGCCCUCCGGUUUAUAUAGACACCGGAGAGGGCUAGGGUUACACAGAGUCGGUUACAAUGGUAGGAGAUCUACAUAUCCGUAUUGCCAAGCUUGCCUUCCACGCCAAGGAAAGUCCCAUAUGGACACGGGGCGGAGUCUUCAAUCUUGUAUCUUCGUAGUCUUGGAGUCCGGUGGACGAUGAUAGUCCGGCUGUCCGGACACCCCCUAGUCCAGGACUCCCUCAGUAUCCCCUGAACCUGGCUUCAAUGACGAUGAGUCCGGCGCGCAUAAUGUUCGGCAUUGCAAGGCGGGUUCCUCCUUUGAAUAAUCUAGAGAAGAUUGUGAACACCAGGAUAGUGUCCGGCUCUGCAAAAUAAAUUCCACGCUCCACCGUAGAGAGAAUAACAUAUAUACACAAGUUCAAUCUGCUGACGUAUUUUGCGGCAUGACAUCACACCACCACCAAGCCUUUACUUGAAUCAUUUUUUAUUAUACCACCUCAGCGCGUUUAGCGAAGCGGUUUCCUUGGCACGUCUUGUCGAAGCAGAGAUCGUGUUCCCCUUAUUCUGGGAUUCUCAUCAAUACGGACGUGGGUAACCCAACCGCGCCAUUGAUGGUGGCGCUUGGGAGAUAAGCGAGUUUUACCAGGCUAGUGGGGACGCAUAGUCUUCGUCCGCCUAUAUAUAAGGGAUAAGGAUUCACCUUUUCACCUACGCCUUCUUCCUCCCUUGCUUAUCCAUCUCUGCGCACUCGAGCUCCAGCGCCCAAGUUCGCGCAUCUCGCCUCGACCUUCUCCGACCAUGUCCGGAGCGAGAGGUAAAUGGUUGGUCUCCACCGUCACGGAGGAGCACAUCACAAAGCUGCGCAGCGCCGGAUACCUUUCCGGCGACGUCGUGCACCGGCUGCCCGACGAGGGGCAGCUCAUCCCCACCCCCAGGCCCCAUGAGAGGGUCGUUUUCCUCCCCCACUUCCUCCGCGGACUGGGCUUUCCACUUCACCCUUUUGUCCGGGGGCUCAUGUUCUACUACGGCCUGGAUUUCCAUGAUCUGGCGCCGAACUUCAUCCUCAACAUCUCGGCGUUUAUCGUCGUGUGCGAGGCCUUCCUCUGCAUCCAGCCCCACUUCGGCUUGUGGCUCAAGACCUUCAAUGUCAAGCCGAAGGUAGUGAAGGGCACUCAAGCGGAGUGCGGAGGCGCCAUGUUGGGCAAGAUGCCCAACGUCCUUUGGUUCGAAGGGGCCUUCGUGGAAUCCGUCAAGGGGUGGCAGUCGGGGUGGUUCUAUAUCACCGAGCCGCGCGACCCUACGUGAGCGGCGGCCCCCGAGUUCAGAUCUGGUAUCCCUACGCAGCUCACCUCCUGGAAAGAGAAGGGCUUGCUGUGGGGUAAUUCGAAGGAGCUGACGGGACUCCAAGCCUAUAUCCAGAAGCUGGUGAACAAGAAGCUCGGCCUGGUUAACGUGGUCCAAGUCAUGCUCGUCCGCCGGAUUCUCCCAUGCCAAGAACGGGCAUUCAAUCUGUGGGAGUUCUAUCCGGAAUAGCACCAGGCGUUGAGCGGGCUCUUUGACACGACGUACGAAGGCGCCUGGAGGGUGCUGUUUAAGGGCGCCGAAGCCCCCGCAUCCGCGACGGAAGAUCACGGAUUUCACUCGCAGCGUCCAGCUGACGAGGUAAGUGAUUCUACCCCUUUACGGGACACUUGUUGUUAAUAGUUCAACCCUAAGCGGGUUUUAAUCUCCUUUUUCCUUUGACAGGAAUGGAUGAAGAAGGCCGAGCAGUUCAUCUGCCCGGCUCCCAUGCCAGAAGACCCAGUGGACGCCCGUCUAGUGCGGCUGCUGGUUCCGGCACCGCACGUGGUGCCGGAGAAGAAGGCCAAGAAGGUGGCCACGGGUACUCGAAAGAGUUCCCGUUUUCAGGUGUCCGACGACUCCGAGGCGGAUUUCUCCCCCGAAGAUGAGGAGGAGGAAGAAGACUCUCUCCCAGAGGAGGGAGAGAGAAAGAGGAAGGCCUCCCCAACAGGGGAGGCCGAAGGGUCCAAGAGGGGAAGAACUAUUCCCCCGGACAGCUCCGCCAACAUCAACAUUGGCGACGAAGAGUGGCCCUCGAGGGCCAGGCCUCAGGCGAGAUCGUAAGUAUCUGGAUCCCUGAAUGAUCUACAAUUUCUUUUGUGUCACAUAGUGUCCUUCUAAUGACGCAUACUGCCUGCAGUCCGGCCGACGAUGAUCUCCCUGCUUCGUCGAGCGGGUCGUUGGCUGCGUCGGAUGUGGAAUCCAUUCCGACUGCCUCCACCCCCCGCGCCACUGAGGACGCCGAGGUGGGAUCCCGGGAAGGGACCCAUCAGGAAGAGGCUCCGGAGGCGCCGCAAGGCAGCCUCCCGGACUUUGCACCGGACUCUACGCCGGAACCUGCAGUGGUUCCAGAGUCUGGUAGGCGGCCUCUUCGCAAGAAGGGCAAGACCGUGACACCGGCGGCCCCCGUCCAACCGGAGGCGCCAGACAACUUGUUGGAGGUGCUCAAAGGCGCUUCCAUCGAGGAAGAACACCGCACUGUUAUGAGUGCGGUGAUUCAGAAGGUUCAGCUUGCCAAGAGCGGGCUGACCGUAGCCUGCAGUAGCCUUCUAACAAGCUUUGAGGUAAGAAGUUAAAAUUAUGUAAUGUAAUACCGCAUAGACAGUAGCCCCUGAUGCUCAGUUCGGUGUUCGGAAAGAAAAGCCGGACUGAGGAUCUAAAAAGACGUACACAGGGGUGCUAAAAGUAUGUCAAUAUGGGUUUGCAGGCUGUGCUGCUGACCUCUGCCGCACUGACUACGGAGGUUGGUGCAUUGAAGCAGGAUCUCGAGCGGUCCAAGUAAGAGCUCGGCCGUGCCAAGAAGCAGCUCGAGGAAAA